CGGGAUUCAUAAUCGUAACCGCCCUUCGCGACAGUUGAGGCCAGGCUGGAAUAACUACCAGAUCCCCCAUUCCGGCCGCCACCCCCUAUAAAUCCACCCUCCCUCCCACCUCCCCCAACGCCAUUCCCCCUCUCCGCCUCCACGCCUCCCGAGCCCAAACAAAACCCUAGCUCCGGCGCCGCCACCUCGCCGUCCGGCUCCUCCCGCCUCCAGCAGCAGCAGCAGCAAAUGGCCCGCCCCUCCGCCGCCGUCGUGAUCGCCGCCUUCGUGGCCUUGGCCGCGCUGGCCACCGCGGCCUCCGCCGCCGAUUUGGCGCCGGCCCCCGCCCCGACCUCCGGCGCCGGCGCCCUCUCGGCGCCGCUCUCCGCUGUCUGCCUGGCCGGGCUCCUCGCCGCCUUCCUCCGCCACUGAGCCGGCGGCGGCCGCCUCGCCCGCGUGCGCGUGUCUUCGUCGGAUCUAGUAGUACAGUGGUAGUGAGAGUCUUAUUAGUGGUAGUAGCAGUAUUGUAGUGGUUGUGAUAGUGCCAUGGAGGGAGAGGCAUUUGUUUUGGUGGUUCGCCGGGCGGAUGGAUCUGAGGGUUUCGUGUGGGGAUUUUGAGAGGUUUUUGAGGGUGGAUUUGAUUAGCGUGGUUGGUGUGAGUCUAUUCCUAUUAUUUAGUCGCGUCUUGUGUACCUAGUGCUCACUGGCUCUGAGAGUAUUAUUAUUAUUGUUAUGGAUUUAUGAUAUUAUUAUUAUUGUUAUAUUAUUCUCGCGUAUCAUCUCUGUUCAGUUUCAGUAGAUUUAUGCUUAUUAUCAGCAAAAUUCACUGAAAUUUCAUAGAAGAUCACUGUCGCAAAAUCUUAAAUUCACGGUGUGUUAUGAGACCGAUUCUGUUGGGCAUCUGCCCUGUCCAGACACUGCGAGGUGUAUGGUUGUGGCAUGCCCUGCUGAGAAUCUGAGCAGAUUGAUAUGAUUCGAGAUGGAAUUUUGUGUGUGCGCGACAUGUGUCCCGGCAUGAAGGGAAGGGUAGAAAGCUUGAGACCGAGGCAGCUUAAAGGCUAAGCAAGCACACGCACGCAGUACGUGUGAGCGAGCGAGGCCGCGCCAGAGCGGAGAUGGAGAUGCCUGUACGGCGUGGCCCACCUGUUUGGGCAGCACAUGGGCAGCGGUUGGGGGUUCGUUGUGACCACCUGGCCGACGCCCCCGCCACCCAGAGGAAUAGCUCAAUCGCAUCGCGUUGCCAAGACUCUCCAGAAUUUUCUGCGUGUAUAAUGCGCCCUUCCAUACUUGGGAAUCCUGGGAAUUCCCCCUCCCAAACGACGCUAACCAGAAUAGGAAUCCAUCCACGCUAACAAAGAAAUGGGAAUCCUGAUGUUCCUUGGUACCCAUGGGCUUUCCAGCUGAACUCGUCGACAAAGAAGCCCAUCAGAAAACAAAACGACAUCUAAGCUAGACGCGAACCAUGUUCGGGCCAAAUGCCGGCCCUCUAAGCAUGGCCCAGAACUUAAUUUAUUAUACUCGAUGCUAAAAAUUGCUUUCAAAGAUUAUCCUAAAACAAAGAUAUCCAUCAAGAUAGCAAAAAGUUGAGAAUAUUUCAUCAGAGGGAGAAAGGAAAACAGCCAAACAGGCAUGAAAGAGCCGAUGAACCUGGGGCCUCAACUAAUUAUAAGCCUGAGGUCAGCAACAAUAAACUUGAACUUAUAAUCUUAUUCCUUUCCCUGACGAACUAGGCAUAUCGACAAGAUUAUCUGUUUAUUUGUGACAAGAAUCAAAACAAUUGGUGGACCAAAAAUGACUUUCUUCUCCAAUGGAAGGUCAUGGCAGCACCUAUACCAUAAUAUAGGAACUAACUAAACCGUUCAGCUUGCUUUUCCCCCCACCACCAGCCUACCUCACGGACAAAAAAGAGAGAAGAUCUCCGAUUAGAAGCUAAUCCAAGUAGAAAAGCGUCACGAUCUUCCGAAGGUUCUUGGCCUCCUGGCAUGUCUCCAUCAGCAGCUUGCUGUCAUGGAACGCGAAGCAGAUCACCUGUUGGAUCUUCGAGAUGAUGUCCAUGUUGCAUAACCUGAAGGUUACAAGAGUUGCCAUUAAGCAUAAAGAUGAUAUUCAAGAAGCAAUACUGAUUUACAGAAAAUGUGACUUGUCUUUCAGUUCGUCAAAUAGGCAAAAAGACAGAUGCUCGUCGUCUAGAAUACAACAGAUAAACCCCAAAAGUUUACGACCUGUCGCCAUAAUAGUGUAGUAUCAACUCUGAAAAAUAAACUACUCUACAGCUACAGAUGCAUACCCUUGGCCCUUGGGCAGACCCCAAUCUAGAGCUAUAGUUCAUGGCGUCAACCUGUCCAAUGCUUGUUUCGCGUAAGUUCUGUAAAUGAGGCAUCAGAUACUCUUGCAGAAUGUACAGAACAUAGUAUUUGUUUUUCAUGGCAUUAUGAGGUUACUAAUAGUAUUCCAACCAUCUAUGUAACAAUCAAUGAGUUAAAAAAAGUGAUGUCGGUUUUCAUCAAAAGCAUAGUCUCUGACAAGUGCUGGAACUAAAUGAUACACUGAUCAGGCAUGGACCGAAUACAUGUAGCGACACCAUUGGUAACAAAAAAUAUACAAUAUAGGAAAAGUAUGAGCAAUUUCGAAAGGUAGCUGACCAACCUGCUAGCCUCAAUCAGUGGCAAAUGGUCAUACUGUGGUUUCUCAAUCAAGUUUUGUACCUACAAAGUAUACAAAACCUUACUGAAGCAUUUUAAAUUUUACCAUAUGGAAAUGGAACAUCAGGAGGAUGCUAUUUAACUCCUGAGGCAUGCUAUUGGAAUUAAUGCAUAUGACAGUGGAUGCCUAAUAAUCUCACUAUCUAGCCAGAAUCCUAGAUCAUAGGAUAAUGCUAAUGUUUUCUGAACAAUUGCAAGCGGGUUCUGGCCUGGUUGGCUAGCUCAUUGUAGAGCGGAGCUAGCAACCGCGGUUUGAAUCCCUGUUUGCACAGAUAUUAAGCCAUCUAAUAUGGCUGGGGGCUAAACCCCUGUAAUCGUUUUUUUUCCUGAAAACUUCAGAUGCCAUGGUGAGACAUUCCUAACCAAAUUGAUCGCAUUGAUUUUUAAGCAUAUUUACAAUCAAGCUUGAUAAAGAUAGCAACAAAACACUCUAAGGAUCCAAAAUUAAAUACAAACUUUCUUAUGUUUUCUUGUGUAAGAACAGAUGUACAACAGAACUGAAGGUUAAUGGUAACAGCAGAAUUAAUUCAGAAGCCUGCAGUGAAAAUAAAUAGAAUGCUCUCUUGGUGAAGGAUGAAUCAGGUCAACUAUUUAUCUUCGUAUUACUCUAUAGUCUAUACAGAAGAGCAUACACAUAACAAUAACGAAGCACAAUGUUCUCCUAAAGAAUGUUUACAUGUAUGGUCAGGGGAUAUCAAAUUAAAAAGAAUUGGCUGUAAGACCUAACUCAGAGAUGAUAAUACUGUAGUUUACUGUAAACAAAGUAUCAUCAAACAUCAGUUCAUUGAUAGAAAAACACAACUAAGGAAGCUCAUGCAUUUGUCAUACAACCAGCAUCAUCAUGCCUACACCAAUUUGAAUAUCAUAUAGAUUACAAACAUGAUUCAUACACAAGCAUGGGUACAUCUUCUCCUUUUUCGUGGAGCACUAAGAAAUUCUGCAUAACUUGUCUCAAUAUGCUGAAUUUAAUGCGAUGAGCAGUCUAUCAAUACAAAAUCACUAAAUGCCAGCACUAAAUAUAUAGAACAACAGGUAUAUUGGCGCGCAUAGGAAUCUAUACGAAUAGGUCUGGAACUAAUUUUGACUAGAAAAUGACAAGUCAGAAUAGAAAUAUCAGGAAGUCUUACUUUGGACAACAGUUCUUGGCUUUCAGGAGGUUGCUUCUUUAGACUCUGAGGUAAAAUUACAGUAAGCAACUCUGGCUUUUCAGCUCUUAAAGCGCCCCUGAUAACAGCUGCAUUAGUUCCGGAAGCCCCAGAUGUGAAUAUAUGAUUUUUCUGCAAUUUCUACACAAAUAUUACUAACAAUGCUAGAGGACUCAAAGACCAUAUGAAUGGCAACAUCAAAUAAAUCAGGGAGAUCAUAUGAAUCAGUGAAUCACAGUAGCACAUAAAUAAAGAACAUACUGUUAUGACCAUAGCAUAGCUCAGGAUCUCAAUAAGCUGCUGAUGCAUAUACCCCAUGUUGCGGGUUCCAAAGAAACCUAUUGCACGAGGUCCUUGUUGCUGAAUAGCCAACAGCUCCUGCAUGACCACCAAUUAAAUGAGAUCAGUUUGCAGGAUAAAUCAAUUCAUAAACGCCAUGUAUGCAAAGUAGCAUUCAUUAUUGAAAGUCUGAUUGUACUAAACUAACUUUCAGAGGUAACCACUAAAGUUAACUUUGAGUAAACUGAACAGAAAAAAACAAAACACAAUGUAAAAUGAGCAGAAACAUUACCUGUAGGUAAUCUAGAUCAGGGAUCGGCUUGUAUUCUGGUUCAGCAACCAUUGCAGUACCCUUGACAAGAGUCUCUGUCUGAGUAGGAAUCUUUACACCAUCAUCAUCUGGCCCAAACAUAAUAGUAUCAUCUCUUCCUUGACUCCUCACAUCACCUUCAUGCCCAUCUCUUUGCAUGUAUCCGCAGAGCAACUAUACGAGCACAAUAAAAACAGAACCUGGCAGUAAAUCAUUAGUGAAAACCAAAUAUAUUACAUCAUACUAAAUAAAGUUUCCAGUUUUACAAUUUUACUUUGCACCUGUGCUGAUUCUUCAAAGUCAGCUAGCCAUCAAGUAAUCCCAGAUCUAAAGUAACACCAUACCACAACAAGGGCCACAGCAAUUUAGGACACAACCUAAAUUCAGUGAGCGGAUUUGUAUACCCGUUUUAAACCCAACUUUCUGAAGACACAGCAGAAACUUUGAAUAAAAGAUACCAACAAAGGUGACGAGAAUCCCAAGCAUUGGAUUCUGAAUAAAUGUAAAGGGCAGGCUGAAUCCAAUUCAGUGGAGCAUUAAGUAUUUAAAGGGAUCUAGAAGUGUAGCCUUUGAGUUGCACAGUUCACCCUUUAAAGGUAUGCUAAAGAAAAAUAAUACAAACACUUUUGACAUGUAAUGAUAAUAGCCUGCAACAUUUAUCUGCAAAAGAUGAUUAACUUUAUGAAUGGUGCAUAUCUUUACCAUCUAUCAGCCAGAAAGUUCCAUCAAUUGAGGUCGGUCCUAUUCUGAGGCGACCAUGACUUACUCUGCACCUUAGUCCCAACCGCGCACGGUUUGGAUUGACGGGAGCAUAGCUCAGAUGCAGGAAGGUGUGAAUGACAUUAAUAAACUUUAGGCACAGGAUCUAAGCAUCAGCAACACAAGCAGGAUCGCUUGUUACAGUGGACUGUUAAAAUAUCUAAUUUUGACGAACUUUUUCCUUUCCACGGUAAGAAUUUUGAGAUCUCAUUGCACCUAUCAAUCUACCAUGCUAUAUAUUUCUAUUGCAAUUAUGGUGUGACUACAGAGUCUGUAUACUGUAAGUACAGAUCACAGAGGAUUAACAUGCAUGUAAUCUUGAUUUGUGUCGAAUUUGAAGGAAUUAUGAUGGCAACCAAUAUCAAUACACACUCAAUUUGAGACCAUCUUGCAUUCUUGUCUGUCAUUUCUCUCUUUUUCUUAGAACGUGAAAUUACAAUCACCGCAGCAAUCCAAUCAAUAAACAGUUACGAGGAGGGGGAAAUUAUCUUUGGAGGUGAAUUCUACUCCAACCAACCCAUGAUAUCACACAGCGCACACAACAAAACAAGUUUAUAUGUAGGCAAAGUACCCGGUUCAGCCGUGCCACUGCCGGCGGCUGCUUGGUCGCCUGAGCCCAUCCCAGCAAGACGCCGCCGGGGCUCCUCGCGGCCGAGGAACAGUGCAAGAAGCCGCCGAGUCUCAAGUUCAUUCGCGGCGGCGUCCUCAACGAGGGAAGACCGCCAACGGGCGCCGCGGCGCAAGAACCCGCCAUCGUCAUCCGGCCGCCGAUUCCAAUCUACGCAGAGGAGGGAGGGGGAGAACCGCGUGAACUGCUGUGCGUGGCGGCGCUCUCGUGACCAAACCGAGGAUGGCCGCGCGGCGCGGCGCAGGUCAUGUCAGAGGAGGGGGAGGGAAUUGCUGGGUGGGCUGGGGAUGAGACGAGAGAGAGGGAGGGAGGGAGUGAGACUGGACUGGCUCAAGCCGGUUUGGUCCUCUGGCGGCCUCGCUGGCUGCUGUGGUGCGCUUGUGGGGAGGAGCUGGACGCCUUUGGAUAAAAGGUGGCGCACCACCUUGUUUGCCGUUUUUGCGUGCCUCUUCUCUCGACUCUCGUCUAGUUGUUCUUCUACGUUUCUUAUCGAGAAUACUCUUUCUUAUUUUGAUUUUUUUGUCAGACUGUUUUAGGGUUUUUAUCUAGAACACCUGGCUUAAGGAUAGGAAAAAAUAAACCCUAUUCCAAAUUUCAGGGUUCAUUACUAUACUACUAUCACAUCUCAAAUUUCAUAUCAAUGAGUAUGCGUGCACUUCUUUUAAAAAUGCAUUUGUUUGUAUUGUUUCAAUCUAAAUCCAUGUGGUUGUGGCUAAGUCAAAGAGUCUAGCAAAGACAAUUGUUAGCUCUUACGCAAUCUUAUGAGUGUCAUUUAUACUGAGUUUUCUAAAAUUAAUGUUAUAUACUCCCUUAGCUCAGAAAUGAUAAUGUAUAUUUGAAAUUGGGGAAAAGUCCUUCAAAGUAGAUUUUGACUCUUAAUUUCUCUUAUAGUAUAAUGUUAAUAGCUUAUAAUGUUAAUAGCUAAAGACUCAAUAUCAUCUCAAAAAGACUUCGAGUAUAAAUAUAUUGAUGCAAAUUUUACACACUAAGUGUGCUUUUAAUUUAACUAAUUACUGACCAAAGUUUGUAGACUUUGAAUUUUCCUUGAUCAAAAUACGCCUACCAUUGGGAGUAAUUACAAACUACAAACAUUGUGUAAUUCAUCUACCAGUCAAGUUGGUAUUCAUUUAUUAUUUGUUUGAAGACUUCAGAAAUUCUGAAUUAUUUAUUUGAAGACUUCGGGAAUUCUAAGGUGACUAACCCUCCCUACUCUUGUUCUGCUUGGCAUAACACUACCUAUUUCUCACUAGUGUCCUUCAAAUCUCAAUUGUUUUCCCACAGUUAAAACACAUGUUCUAAAUCCAUAAACUACUACAUGAUAAAGGUCCACUCCAAGACUGGCAAGGUUUUGACCCAUCUAAUAAUCCUUUCAGUCUUCACUCUUCACAGACAUUCUAAAUGCUUAUAUAUUGAACUGUAGGUUGAAAUAACACCUGGUUCUGUUUGAACUUGAAUAGUUCAAAUUAAGUAUAUAGCACCUAUUGUAAAAAUAUCAAAAUGGAACACCCGGAUAGUUUCGGGCCUGGUCAGGUCUGGUUCAUGAGAAUGUUAGGUCAAGCCUGAGCUACCCAGUUGGGUUAAAUAACAUCUUUAAACCUUCGAAAACAAAUAUUUUAUUUAAAAUCAUUUAUUCAAAUAAACUCAUUAAAACUUAGAUGCACGGCUGCCGCCAGCAUGUGGGCUAGAAUAUUGUAUCCUUAUUUGGAACAGCUUCCCUAUUGCCUACUCCCUCCGUUUACUCCCUCCGUUCCAAAUUAUAGAUCGUUUUAGCAUUUCAAGGUUCAUAGUUUUUACAAUGUAUCUAGAUACAUACUAAUAGUUAUGAAUCUAGAUUUGCCAAAAUAACCUACAAUUUGGAGCGGAGAGAGUAUAUUCCUAGAACAAUUUUUCUAUCAACAAAAAAAUAGGUAUCUUAUUAGGAUGUAGUUUGGAACCAUGCCAAAUUGCAUAUUUCUUGUAGAUGCAAAAAUAAUAUAUUUCAUAUUUCUAUUUUUUUACUUUGUUGUAUUUUCUUUUUAUGUUUGGGGUAAUCUCUUUGGCUCUAAUGGAAGAAUAUGUAUUGUUUUGUAAGCCAAAUGUGUGUAUGUGAGUCAAAUACAUUAGUACUAAUGAUGAAUUUUUUGUAUUGUGUUAUGACAUGAAUUUGUUUUAUUGUUAAGAUCAAAUUAAAGGGUAUAAUCUCUUUGCCUCACAUGAAAUUAACAUUAUGUUCUUGUGUUAUUAAUUUGCCUUUGUGGACCAAGCGUAGCUUAAUAUAUUAGGUGACAUAAUCCACCUUGGUUUGAGACCGAGUCAUAUUUUUCUGGAUUUAAUUUAGGAAAUAAUGAAACUAUGCUUUCGGCGUACGACGUGAGCAACAUGCAUGUCGACAUUGAUGUGUCGUGCUUAUAGUGUUGGGUUUGCAGGGUGAGUAGAAAUGAGAUUAAAAAAUAUACAUUUUCCUUUUUAAUAAGAAAUAAUUUGUUUUUAACCUUCUUCUUCUGUUAAUGGCUCAGUUUAGUUUUUCGAGUUUGGUUGACCCGCGACGAAUGGCAUAGGGACCUGGCAGGGCCAGUUCUAAGAUUUGGGAAGCCCGGGACGAAAGUAAAACUCGGGACCCUUUAAUAUAAACAUUAUAACAAAUAUAUAUGAAAUGUUACCAAUAAAUAUUAAAUGUAUGUAAAAGCAAUAUUUAUAUCCUUUUCUUUUCCUUUCUCGUUACCUGAUUCAUAUUUUCUUGACGACAUGAUAUCCUACUGUGCAGAAAUUAUUAUAAAUAAAUAAUAGUUAUAAAUUAGUUAAGAUUAAAUAACUUGUGAUAGUGAAUUAAUAAUUAAUGGUAUGGGGAAUUGGCAAUUGAAUCACCUGAUCACAUAAGCGAAUUGACGAUCUCCUAUCUGAUCUCUGCCCGUCUGUCGUUGCACCGAGGGGCGACGGGUGUGCGAUGCGAGCAGGAGAGAGGACCACCGGCAGGAUGAGGCGUUAAGGAUGAGGGGUGCGGUUGAUGAAUCAGGUUCUUGUUUUAACCACGAAGUGGGCCCACCUUAAUGUCACCUUUUACCGUGAACCAUUGUGGGCGGAGCAUUAACAAAUAUUAUCUUUUUCUGAGACCCCACCUUAAUACUAUUUGGAACGUAAGCAAUAUUCAGUCGAUUUUUAUUUCCAGAUCCUGUGAUGUGUCAAAUCCGAUUGAUUUUUUGUUUCUUGUCACUCGAUCUUUCUCUACUGCCCAUUAUUGCUACGUUGCUUCACCCUGUUGGUCUAAAAUUCGACUAACAGCAUCCCAGAUUUUACUCGAUUGUUACAUAGUCAUUCCCGUAUCUCUAUCUUUGUUCACUUAUUUAUAGAAGGGAUCAUGAAAUCCAGAAAUCUGGCCCAGACUAUACACAGAGGUAUAACCUAAUUUAUUUGGAAUACUCACACUGAGCUUUAUUGUUAUAUAUACAUCAUGAAAUGAUCAGAUCAACAUGACGUGUGCGUGCUAUAGUCUUUGAAUCUAUGGCGUGCCCGCCGCGUCGCCGCCGAAGAGGCCCUUGUCGAACACCCAGUCCUCGAUCAUCUCCUGCGCGGCCCGCCCCUGCGCCGCCGGCACCAAGUGCCCGGCCCCGUACACGGCCACGUGCACGAGCGCGCCGUGCCUCUGCACGUACCCGGCGAGCCUCCCUCGCCCGCCGCCGCCACCUCUCCGUCUCCGCCACACAGCGCGGGGGGCGUCCCGGAACGCGGCCAGCCCGUCCCACUCCAGCUCCCGCAGCCAUGCCUCCGCCGCCACCGGCCCGUCCUGCGCGUCGCGGAUCCCCUCGUAGAGGAGGACGCGCGCCGACGCCCCGGCGAGCAGCGCCUCCACGUCCGGCUUGGCGCUCUUCAUCACGUCGUCGUGGAACGCCGCGUCCACCGCCGGGCUUACCAGCUGCCACGGCGAGCCGCCCUCCGACGCGCGCCGCGCUCCCAGCGCCGCCCUCACCUCGGCGCUGUUCAUGAGCGCCUCGGCCACGGCGGCGGCCCCUGCGAACUCGGCCUCCAGGGACGUCUCCACCGCCACGUCGAACAGCGACGCGAGCCCCGUGGCGUUCCGCAGCGACGACAGCAGACGCGCCCGCGCGUCCGACGCCUCGCGCCAGCGCGCCGCGUUGGUCAGCGCCACCGCCGCCGCUUGCAUCGCCUCGGCGUCGCGCUUCUGCUUGUCGUUGAUGAGCCCCAUGAAGUAGGCGGUGUCGGCGUGCGUGGCCACCUGCGCCACGGGGUGGACCAGGCCGUUGCCGAUGGCCACGCCCCGCAGGUUGAUCCGCCGGUGCUCCGGCAGCUCGGGGUUCGUGGCCAGUAUGAGCGAGCCGGCCGCGGGGAUGGACUUACCGGCGUAGCUCUCGCCGGUGAGGAAGAGCGGGCGCGCGCGGAACUCCGCCGGCUGGGCGUCGAAGAAGGACUGGAGCGCGGCGAGGACGUGCUCCGCGACGACGGACUGGUUGGUGGGGAUGGCGGAGGGAGACGGCGCCGAGCUGUAGCCGGUGCCAAGCGGGCUGUCGACGAAGAGGAGCCCGAAGCGGCGGUUCCACGCGAAAGGGUUGGGCGACAAGGGGGCGGAGCUGUUGUUGCGGCCGGCGGCGAAGGUGUAGGGGCCGAUCUGGAAGAAGUUGCUGACGAGGGAGGACACGCCGGGGCCGCCCUCGAGCCAGACGAGGAGCGGCGUGGAGGCCGGCGGGGUCACAGGGUGGGUGGCCUCGUAGAAGGCGAAGUAGAGAGAAGCGUUCGCCGGUGGGAUCGGGAGGUAGCCGGACUUGGUCGGGAGGGCUUCUCUGGGGAACAACGCCGCCGCCGCGGCUGAGCCAUGAACGGCGGGGGCGAGGAAAAUGACGACGAGGAGGGAAAACGGGAGAGGAGAUGCCAUGGUACGUGUUGCCUGAAUGCUGUUGCGUGCCUGUGCUUGAACGUAGUCUUUCUUACACCAUCAUCAGAGCGCCCUAAAUAUGUUUACGUGGCUGAAAAAUCUCGGAAGCCUAGCUGACAAAAGAAAAGUCUCUCAGACGAGUUUCCAAACACGCGGCGCCACAGUGCAGGUGAGGCAAAAGUUCAAUGCCAGGUGUGCUCAGAUUAUUGAACAAGAACUCAAUUGUUUUGCGUGUGUCAGUCAAGCUCCCAUGCAUUCCCUGUUGGACUAGAAAGGUGAUGAGCUAGUAGUAAUCAGUAGCAAGGUUGACCUGAUGAAUAGUGCAGUAUGCCUGGAUUUGUACAGGGUUCUGGUUUCAUUUUCUCACGACUACAACAAAAGUAAGUUCCAGUCUUCCACAGCCGCUCCUUCCAGAUGGUCGACCGUUCCGGUCAGUGAGAACAAUAUUUCUUCCCUGGUUGGUGAGCGGAGACAACAGGUGGAAGAGCUCUUGAAUCUAAUGCUGGAAUUUUGUAAGUUCUUAACUCAAAUGGGAGGCAAGAAAACAGAGACAAGAGCAGAGUACUGCAAAGUAGAACUAAAAAAACGACUAACAAGCACUAGCAAUAUUUUGCAACAACUCCCUCCGUUUCAAAUUGUAGGUUGUUUAAAUUUUUCUAGAAUUAUAGAUAUUAUUAUGCAUCUAAACAUACACUAUAUUUAUAUGCACAGUAAAAACUAAGCACCUAGUAAAAUCAAAAUAACCUACAAUUUGGGAUGGAAGGAGUAGCAAACAGCACACGUGCAGCUAUUUUUUUAGAAAAAAAAUGAUCAAUGGAGCUUGAGCUGUCUACAUAUAAUUUUGACUCGAGUUUGUUACGCCAUUGCCUGUACUUUGUACAGCUAUUGUCCAAGACUAGCACUCACAGUAGAUGCCAUGCAUAAGUAGCAAAUAUGAAUUUGAUUUAAUUUGAUUGCUUGCUAAGCACAGCAAGAUGGAGACCAGCUCCCUCAUGAACGAAGUUUUUUCUAAUCCAUUUGUCCGGAUAUAAUCAACAUUUAACAUCACUUCUUCUGAUUGUAACGGUGCUUCAUUACCUUAAACAUGUACAAAUACUAGUGAGGCGUUCAGAACGAAUCACGUCAUGCCAAAAGAAAAAAAAAACGGCCUCACUAGUUAAGUAGCAUUGCCAGAUUAAAGCAUUAUGUUACCUUGCUAUUAGUCAAGGUUCACAUGGGUGUGCGUAAACUAGGUUUCUAGGUUACGGUGAGCAUGAUGACAUAUACCAUAAGUUGCAUCGGAGCGCAGCAGCAUUUUCAUUUUCUUGAUUUAAAUACGAUAUCAUAUAUAUAUUAAGUUGGAACUAGGCUGAUUUAGAAAAGCCGUUACAAUGGCUAUUUCAGUGCUUGAAAACUAAAGAUUUAGAACUAGGCUGAUUUAGAAAAGAUUGUAUUGUUUACUUACAUUACUCAUAGGUUUAAGUGAACUAGCACAUACAAUGCUUAUGGCUCGAUGAUGGGAAAAAUCCAGUGCAAACUACUUCGGUGGAAACGUGAAAUUGUGAAACCUCCCCUAAAAGCCAUACCCUAAAGUUUCCAAAAAUUAAAAACAAUGUGCAUUCAGAAUAUAUUUAAAGAUUUACUUUGUUGCAAAUUUAAUGUAGAAAAAUCCAUACAAAAAUGACAGAAUUCGAAUGCAUGUGCACUAGGAGACAAAAUUUCUAGGCAUAUGUAUUCUAGUACACAAGCACUUGGAACUUUGUCAUUUUCAUAUGAACUUUUACAAAACGAGUUUGCAUCUCAACUUUGCAACAAAGUACAUCUAUGGAUGGAUAUAGAUGCGCAUCGUUUCAAAAUUUUUAAAAACUUCUAUAUAUUUUUUAAGAAGAAUUUUCAUGUUUCCACCGAAGAGGUGAUUUCCACUAAAUAUUUCCACAUAUCUACUCGCAACUUCAUCCAAGUAGAGGGCUGUUACAGAUACCCACCUAGCUCAUACCACCGGAGGAGCUGGCAAAAUUUGGAAGCCCACUACGCCCAUCGUUAACACAUUUACCACGAAAACCAUAUGCUCCUGGUGAACAGAACAGAAGAUCCUGAGAGUAAACAUAUCGGUUUGAACAGCCAAAUUAAAUUCCUCGGCCGUCAAGCUGGCGAUUCAUCGUCUUCGCGACAGCAAUAAGCAACCGCAGACGAUAAGAACUAUGAACAGGUUUGAAGAACCAAUUUUCCCACAUUAUUUGCUGACUUCAGCAUCGCGCUAAAUAAUACCAGAGUGCACAAUUAUUGAGCAAGCGAUUAUUAUGAAAAGUGCGCAAAUAUCAGAGUAUAUGUACAUCUGAUGAAUAACUUGGCGAAAGGUAAGGUGACCAGCUGAAAAUUCAGCUUCGAUGGCUCAAUCUAUUUGCACCAACUUAUGCUAUCAUUUGCAUUUCAUCAGAAGUCAAUGAAGCAGACAGUAACUAUCUACAGCUCAUCAUGGGUUUUUGCCUUAUCCAGGGUAGAAGCAGGCUGCUGGUGCUCGUGAAGAUAGCGAGCAGCCAUUGCUGCUUGUGCAGCCGCCCCGUAGGGGAGGGCAUCCUCGUUGAUGGUGAAGUAGGGUGAAUGAUGGGGCGCCUGUGGUCCGCGGGUCUCGUUGUACAUUCCCACAAAAUAGUAGUAGGUGGAGGGGAUCGCCUCGGCGUAGAAGGCGAAGUCUUCAGCACCCAUCAGCGGUUGCCUGUCCCUCACAUUCUUGGAGCCAACCAUCUCGCUGGCCACAUUCACGAAGAAAUCAUGGAGCUCAGGGCUGUUGAUGGUUGGGGGAAAGAAAGGGCGGUCCUUGGUGAGGAAGUCCACAGUAGCAGUGCACCGCUGCACAGAUGCUUGAGAGACAAUUACCUGGGACAUGAAAGACAGAGAGAAGCUGAGGAUCUGCUGCAGGACAAUCCACAGUGAAAUUCAAGUAAAUUGUUGAAAAACUCUUGAGGGGAAUAGUGGGUAAUUCACACAGAUAAGAUGACUGUCAGAGUUAUGACCAUUGUGACCGGACACUUCCAUCUGCUGACCUUCCAACACUUACUAGCUAUGAGAAAAUUUGUUUUGCAAGUGCAGUAAAACCAUUACUAAAGUGAAAGCUACAAGGCUGCAGCUGCAAUUUUCAUUAAAGUAGUGUAAAAGGAAAAAAAAAUCUAUUAUGCAUGCUCAAACAACAAACUACACACGGUCCUGUAUCCAUGCAAUUAACCUUAUUCAUGAAAGAAUAAGAGUCAGGAACUGCUCUUGUGUUCAAGCUAAAAGCAGUACAAUUGAGUAAAGAUGGAGAAUAAGGGAAUGCCCCACAUUUUAGAUGCGCACCAGCUUAUUUGUUUAUCUGGUUGUAGUAUAUAUUUAAAUUAGAUAACAUCCCAGUGCCAGAGGAUGAGGUGACACUUACAAGUACCCAUUUUUCUACAGCUAUCAAUAAAAUGUGCAAAUUCAUCUAUUUAAUAAUUACUACUGUAGUUAGUCAUAGUGAUCUUAACAAGAAGUUCAAGCAGUCAUUUAUUUAACGCAAUUUUGAGUCCUUUUUCUUCCAAGAGAACCUGAUCCGCACAAAAUAAUUAAGAAACUGACUAUUCAGUUACAAUAAGUUCCCAAGUAACUAAUGCUGUUACCUCUUCAAUUCGCUGCUUCAAUUGAUUAAAACUCUCUUUCAAAAAGGCCCGGAAGGUGCCACCUAUUGUUACUGAAUCAGGGAUAACAUUGAAGGCCCCACCUCCUUGAAAUUUUCCAAUUGUUACAACCUGCAGAACAAAGCAUGGACCAAAGGAAACAAUUUAUAUACUGGUUUGUAAAUUUGCCAAAGGUUCAACAUAGAGAAAGUGCUAGUCAGUGCACUGGACAAACUGAUGGGGUCCUGGCCUUCUGGGAGUAACAUAUUGAAUAAACAGCCAAAAUUCAGCUUCAAUGGUCCAAUCUAAUUUUACCUAUUUCUGCUAUCAUUUAAUUUGUAUAUGGAACUAAAAAUUCCUCUAUCAAACAACUUAAGAGUGUAAAACUUAAGUUUUGAAUGUUAUAUAGUAAUGGAUGUGGAACAAUUUGUGCUGCCUAGUUCUAAUAAGUACAAGCAAACUUGGGCUGGCCUCCUGGGUUGUUUCCAUACUAAGAGCAGGAUAAAAAGUUCAACACGAUCUUGACCAAUUUCAAAUAAAUCAUCUACACACAUAGCAAAAUCAUUUUGUAAAAAAUUUUCUAUGCUUGUUCUGCAAUUUAGACCAACAGAACAGUACAUCAUGCAACUUCUGCGGAAGGGAGUUAUGUCAAUCAUAUAAAUAGAUAUAGAGAAAGGUUGUCAAGAUCAUGAUUCAUUGCUUGGGAAUUUAUGGCAGGCAACAACAAAUUAAGUCGGUGAAGGGUAAGAUGGUACCUGUGAGUCCAAGGGAUCAGCUUCCCGGGAAACAAGUUGCUGAAGGCUCACAAUAACAUUUGAGGCAGCCAAUAUCGGAUCUAUAGUGUGAUGAGGAAGUGCAGCAUGCCCUCCCUUUCCACUUAUUACAGCCUCAAAGAAUCCACUCCCAGCCAUAAUAGGCCCUGGCCUGGAUGCCAGCACACCAAUAGGAAUAGAGUCAGCUAUGUGAAUCCCAAAAAUGGCAUCAAUAUUUUCCACUGCUCCAGCUUCUAUCAUUUUCUGAGCCCCACCACCACCUUCCUCGGCUGGUUGGAAAACAAGGACUACAGUGCCCUACAGUAAUCAACAUGAUAUUCAUAACCACUGAAAUUUGUUCUAGGUGAUAAAAAUUCAAUGAUUACAAGUCAAUUCAUAUAACUGAUAUGGAGGCAACUGAACUAAGUGAUUCGAUAAGGAGAAUUGCUGAUGGACUAUCAGGAUUAGUUGUGUGCUGUCUAAACAUAAUUACUCGCUUUCCCUAAGAACAGUAAUAUAAGCAAUUGACAAAAAUGCUAAAUCUAUUGCAAAAGGUUGGCUAAAGAAAUGAAGUAUAGACGAAUAAAAAAAGGCAGAAAGAAACAAUGUAUUGCAUUUCACAGAUUUAAACCUGAGAUAAAAAGAAUGAACAACUUCCUUAGACUAAAAGAAGCUACCUCUUACAAAAUAUACACCCAUUUUAAAUUACGCAAAAUAUAAGCAAACUACCAAUAGAUAAUAGUAUAGUACGCUCUGCAGUCUUAGGGAUCAAGGAGUUAAAAACUAGGAUUGGGUAAUAGUUAUCAGACAAAUGAAUUUCACUUCUAUAUUUCUUUCAGAAAGAAAAUGCCAAAAAACAGAGUCUGCAUCCUAAUCAUUUUCCAAAUCUUCAAAAGAAGUGAGAACAUGUAGCUUAAUGCAAUUAAAGUAAGGAAAAGAUCGCUAUAUACAAAGUGUUAAGCAUCUUCCAUAGGUUUUCUGAAGGCUAUUCUCUAAUUAUUUAAUUAACACAUCUAUACAAGUGUUAAGCACUUUUUAUAGGUUUUCUGAAGGGUAUCCUCUCAUAAAUCAAUUAACAAAUCUCCCUAUCAUUGGUGGACAUAAAUUUGGAGGUGGCAGGGAUGGUGCACAGGGAUUAUGUCUACAAUACAUAACAGGUGCUACGUAAACCAUGAAAAUCUAUUAUAUGACCAACACAAAAACAAAGUAUCAAAUAAACAAGAUAUCUGUCUCUGGCUGUCUGCUGAAAUGAAGGAUUGGACAUACAAGUAUACAACUGUUGCUAAACCUCAAUACUUCAACAAUUAAUGGUAUAUCCAUAUUUAAAGAAAAUUCUGAUAUCUCACCCAAAGUUUGAAAAUAUUAAUUAUUUCAGAAAUUUUCAUCGCACAAUGAGAAACUUACAAUUUCGCUUUGCUUUAUAACUAAAGAAAAAUAUUUUAACCAACCUUCAACUCAUCACGAUGCUCCUGAAGGAUCUUGGCAGAUCCCAAGAGCAUAGCAACAUGAGCAUCAUGUCCACAUCCAUGCAUUUUCCCAGGAACUUUGCUCCUGUGUUCCCAUUCCACGCUUUCCUGUAAAAAAAGACAUGAAUUUUAACUUGGACAGAUAUAAACUAGUCGAAUCUAACUUUGGGCAAAUGAAACUUACCGCAAUUAAAUUUAUCAAUAAUAAAUAACUGAAAAUUGAUAAUAUGCAUUAUGCAAGGUUUAAAAUUUGUGGCUUAGUACAUUGAGAAGCAGCUCUCCACAUACCGAACAUUAAUCAAUUGGAUCAUAUGAAUAAUAGACCUAUUGCACCAGAAAAAUAUAUAUAUCAAUACAGUUCAAUAAGCACAUCAUAGUUAUGCAAUCUACAUGAAUCACAUAUUUGUCUCAUACUCUCAUCACUAAUCACCACCUGCAACAUGAUUGAAGGCUCACUUGACUGCACAUAUGCAUAUAGGCAGCCCAUGUGAUUCCUCCCAGUGAGAAGCUAAAGUCUUUUCUCCGUAUGUUCCUAAUUAGGAGGGACAGGUAGCCAGCUAGGGAACUACUUAGGAGUAGGCUGGCACCUGUUCCACCCUUUUCUAACCAGGAUGUCUGCCGUGAACUAUAUGCGAUAUUGACAAUUUCCUAGACCAUUUCGAUAUCACACGUGCUGGCCUAGGUGACCCUUGGUCAUUACUUUGUAUUGCUCUGCAACAAAUUUCAAAGAGCAAACAUGUGCACCCUUUCCACUGCAAAGGUUGCGCAAACCCUGGAAGAUUAGUUGCUUUCUGGUGCACCCCAUAAGUUCUUUGAAAUUAAGGUUUUCCUCUUCUCUUAAAUCAAUCCUCAGAUGCCAAAUUUCGCAAUAGGGCCUCCAAUAUAGCACGCUAUACAGGUAGGCCGUUUUAUACCUAGCACGCUAGCAGAGCCUAUUAAGUACGUUGAUUGCAAAUUAACAGCAUUAAAAAUAUCGAACGAAAUGCAGUUUCCACUAUGCAAGCGGCUCCAAAAACAAACCCUUGUCAAACUAGAUGAGCACUACUGAGGACAAGAUACAAUUUUGAAGCUUGUGAUUGUUGUGAUUGGAACGAAUUCGAUAAAUAGACCAAGGACCUCCCGCCUCUAUCUUUAGCAAAACCAAUAUCUAUUUUCUUCAAUCAGCAGCAAAUUCAGGAAGCAGAGGAACCCAAAUAGCGGGCAAGAGCCAGCGCAACCGAAGAAGAAAUCGAAGGCAGCAACAGACCUGCAUCGGUAGCGCGUCCAUAUCCGCCCGCAGCGCGACGAAGGGCGGGCCGCCGGUGCCGACUGUCGCGACCACCCCGGUGACGGCGAAGGGGUGCUUGUAGGGGAUCCCCAUAGCGUCGAGCUCCCGGCGCACGAGCGCGCUGGUCUCGAACUCCUCGUACCCCAGCUCCGGGUUCUCGUGGAUGCGCCGCCGCACCCCGACCAUCCAGCCCGCGAAAUCCGGCUCCUUGGCCCGCCGCAGGAGCCCCGCGGGGUCCUCCAGCGCCGCCGUCGCCACCGAAGGCCAUCCCGCGGCGGCGAGGACGGCGAGGGCGAGGCCCGCCAGCAGGAGUGGCGGCGCAGCGGUGCCCAUGUUUUUUUGGUUGGUUCGGUUGCGCCUUGCGCGGUUGGUUUGCUGGUGAGUGAUGAACUGAUGAUGCGGAGGUCAGGUGAGGAGUGCGGCGGCUUCGCUUUUGACGAGGCAAACGCACACGACACGAGGGCGGCGGCUGAUUUUGUUUCUUCUCCCAUUUUUUUUCUUCUCCUUCCUUUUCCCUGUUUCGUGCUACUGCAUUUUUCAUCGCUCUGCUGGGGUGUGCGGUCAUUUCUGCUUUCGACCAAUUUUUCCUUUCUGGGCAGUCUUUUGUUCCGAGACGUUUUGGUUGAUUUGAUGCCCAUGGAAUGUGUCAUCUGAACGGAUGGUUCUUGUCGUUCAGCCAUUUGCAGGAAGAGGUCCUUGUUGCAGAGUGCUUGUGCUGUUGGUUGUCACCAAUUUUGCUUUGAGCAGCACAAUUGGAUAUUGGUCCCAAAUGGACAGCACAGGCCCAAGCCCAACCCAGAUCUAAUUCGCCGGUCCACACCAUUUCUGUUGACUUGUUGAGUGCUCCCGUUGUUUGUCAAUCUCUAUCUCUUCCCUAUCUCUAUAUCCAUCUCUUCUCUAGCUCUAUCUCUAUUUUAAAGCAAUGAUAGAGAUAGAAAUAUAUGUUGUACUAAUAUUGCGGACCCGACCUAAGCUCCCUGGGCUAAGCCACAGCCCGGCACUUGGCCUAGGAGCGCAUGGAGCCGAUUUUUGCAUGCCCAAAAACAGGUGUGGCCCAACUAAUCAUUUAACUUUUUUUUUUUGGAAAAGGUCCUCUCGUCGUCCCUCAACUAUUGCCGUAGUCUGGGUUUAGUCCCUCAUGUGCAAAAUCGGGUAUUCGUAGUCCCUCAACUUCCAAAACCAUUUGUUUUUGGUCCCUCACCGUUUUUUCGCAUGAUGUGGUAGUGGCCCCAUAUGCCAUUUGGCUUUCUUCUCCCUCUCCUUCCUCCUUCCUUCAUCAUCUUCCUUCUCCCUGUAUCCCUGCUCCCCAACGCUCGUCGCCGGGUCUUGGCCGCCCGCAGGUUCCAUGUCUACGCUGAUUGCCGGAUUCGGUCUCGAGCCGACCACGCCGCAGUGCGGAGCCUGGCCAUGGCCGCACCAUCCCUUCCGCCCUCAGCGACCGCAGUGCCCCCGACGUCGUCCCAACCUCCUUGUGCCCCUAGGUCACCACCAGGGGCCAGGCUGUGCCGCUCAAGCUAGCUGACCAUCGCCGGGUCAGGGCCGCUCGUGUCUACGUUGGUCGGCGGAUCCAGCCGUGAGCCGGCGAUGCCGCAUGCCAUGCAGCCGUUGGGGUCUAGCCAUGCUUGCGCCAUCCCGACCGCCUCGCACCCUCGACCACCACCGAGGACUGGUGCGUCGGGGCCCACCCGCCUUGUGCUGCUUGAGAAAGGGAAGGAAGAGAGAGGGACUGAGGGAGGAGGAAGAGAGGGGGAAGAAGAAAUUCAUAUAGCAUGUGGAGCCUACCGCCACCUGUUCUUGUGGAGCCCACGCCCAAGUCAUGUAAAACCACCGUCAAAACGAGUGAGGGACAAAAAUAAACAGGUUCAAGAGUUGAGGACUGCGAAUACCUGAUUUUGCGUAUAAGGGACUAAAUCCGAACUACGGUAAUAGUUGAGGGACGUCCGGAGGAUCUUUUCCUUUUUUUUUUUCAACUGAAAUGGUUGGUGGACCGAGCUUGGCCCAAAAAAUUCGAUAGUUCUGGCCGAUAAUUUCUUUUGUCGCCUUCGCCGAUGGCCAGCGCACCGGCAUGCGGCUCUCCUCUCCUCAGCAGCGGUGGCCGGAGAGCCGGACGCCGGUGGUCUCGUGCACGCAGAGGGCGCGGCCUCGGCCCUCGGGGACAUCGUCCCGGUCCUACAACCCCGUCCUGGCCACAUGAACACGCCGAGUCCGCAGCCGUCCGCGCGUGAUGCGGUGGCAAAACCAAGCAGGCUCAAGUCCACAAGCGCAGCAGCCAAGAAGAGAGGAUAGCGACCGUAGGAGCAGCGUGCAUGCCGCCCUCGCGUGCCGCGGCUGGCUCGUCAUGACUGAUAUGUUCGUUUUCUACUUCAUGUAUGAUCUGCUGGUAAUUAUCAUCGCAGCAUAUUUUGGUCAAUGGUUCUUCUUAUUCGCCUUUGCAUGGUUGGAUGAUGGCGUCGUGAGAAAGCUUCACCAGUUCCAUCUCCAUGCAUGUGUUGCUAUGCAUUCUGUUUUUUUUUUUGCUGCCAUGAAAUGUUCUGGUUACAAAACUUCCGUUUGCACAUUCCCGCAAGAAUAUUAACGUGGUGACUGGUGGGCAAUAUCAAAUUUUGCGUAUGACUGAAACGAUUGUUUGCAGCAGCAAUCUGGGGCGGAUCUAGCGGUGGGCGGUUGUGGCUCAAGCUCCUCCUACAGCUCCGGACGCAAUGGAGCCUCUCGAGUUCAGCCCCUCCUACAGAGGAAGAAGCGAUAAAAGAAAGCAAAGAAAGAGAAGGAAAGAAAGGAGACGAGAAAUGGUAAAGAUCCUACAAUUUGCAUGAUGUUUAUGGCUGUAUGUAUUUAACUUGAAUCCGUCAAAAUAAGUUGCCCUGCGUGCUUUUGCAGAUUUUUGGAUUCGAGCUGUCAGAUUUUUAUCGUAAUACAAGGACGACCUCCAAGCUAUAAUCGAAAUAAGUUUUGUUCGUGUGACAUCAUAUUUACUAAAUCACAUAUUCAUGCGGCGUGGCUGACAUAAUGGGGCAUGGCUUCAUCGAUUAAGUAAAAAUUUGUUGGUAUUUUCCUAGUUAUUAAUAAAAUAUCAUAGCCUUGUGCCCACACUAUGGGCAGGGUGAAACGAAAUUAGAGUAUGAAUUCAAACCGCAUAGCCAUCAAAAUUUAAUUAACUGAAGUUCGUGGACAAUUUAUUUCAUGACCACUAGUACAUGGAUACACAUUUCAUAGCAUAGAGAAAAAUCGUACCGUACGGAUGCGGAACAACCAUCAACACCACUGCCGCCGGCCCACUCUUUUUAAGAAGUAUAUAAAUAUAUUAAAAGGAGUAAAUAUUAAAAUAAAAUCUUUUCAAAUUUAUGCAUGUUAAAUUUGGCUUUAAUUUAAUUUCCAGCAAAAGAUUUUCCAUUUGGCUCCAGUUUUCUCGAACUACCGUCGCUCGGCUCGGACUCCGACUCCGCCCGUCGGUGGUCCAGCUCCUGGCCACCCACGCCGACAUCAGCGGCCGCGGCGACUGCGGCCGCUUCCUCGUCACGGAGUGCGCCGGGCCGAUGAACCUGCGCCAGCACAUGGAGCUCCGGCGCCGCGAUGGCCUGCCGUUCGAGGAGGGCGAGGUGCGCGACGCCAUGCGCCAGCUCCUCGCCAGCGUGGAGAGCGCGCAUGGCGCGGGCGUGCUCCACACGGAGAUCGUCCCGGAGAACGUAGCCGUCGGCCAGGAGGACGUGGUCUCCGACGGAGCGGUCGUCGGGAGGAGGAUGGUCUACAAGAUCUGCGGCUUCGGCAUGUCGGAGCCGGCGGCGCUGGCGGCGGCGGAGAAGGACGACUCCGGGCUGCUGGCGUCGCCGAGCCCGUACCGCGCGCCGGAGCCCUUCCUGGGCUCCAAGGACUACGACGGGCGGGUCAACACGUGGGGGCUCGACUGCAUCAUGGCGGAGCUCCUCGCCGGCACCGGCGUGCCGUUCUUCGGCUGCAAGCUGGACACCGGGGUCCUCGAGAAGAUGCUGUACGUGGUCGGCGCCAGGGGCAUCGUCAAGUGGCCGGGGCUGGACCGGGUGACGGCGCACGACCAGGCGGCGCGGCUGCGGAAGCUCUACCGCCGAGACCGCGGCCACCUGCGGCAGGUGUUUCCGAGGGAGGUGCUCUCUCUGGCAGGCUACAAGGUCUUGAAAGGGCUGCUGCGGAGUCACCCUGAUCGCAGGCUGACGGCCGCGGGCGCCCUCCGCAUGCCAUGGUUCCGGCGCCGUGGCUUGGGUGGCUACUUUGGUGGAGCGGUCUUGUCAGCCAACUAGCCAUGAUCUGAGUGUUCUCAGGGUGGUUGAUUUUUUCCCCAAGAUUUGUGUAGCGAGUAGAUAGACUUAAGGCUAUCCGUACUCGUCAUACUCUAUUUCCAUACUUUACAAAGAACUAGCAAAAUGCCCGUGCGUUGCUACGGUGAAAUGAUAAUCAUAUUUUUAAAACUCGUGGGUUUUUUUCCUAUUUCUAUCACUAUAUAUUUAUUGCAUUUCUGUUAAUAUAUAUCCUUAUACUAAAAUAAUUAUUCAUUUCUCAAACACAAUAAACCAAAAUAUUUAUUGUUUGAUGCUUUCUUGCUAUGCGUGUUUGGUUAAUUAUUUGUUUACGAGGAGAUAUGUGUCUAGCUGUUGUUCACAAGAAAUAGUGUCCAAGUAUUUUAAAUGAAGCUUAAAGUUUGAAAGGUGGGCUAUUUAGAUUGUCAGAAGUGCAUUGGAAAUUUCUGAAACUAAAACUGGAAUGUUCAGUUCCUGGUUGCCCGUGCGUUGCUACGGGUCAUUACUUGCUCUCACGUUAUUAUACGUUUGUUUAUAAUAUGUUAGCUUCGCUUCACAAUAUGUGGUAGACAAUUCAUCAAAGAUGAGUGGCAAAAAAGACCAUUACUCCAUCACCAUUAUGAAGGAAACAACAAUUACCACCCAAAUAUGAAACGUAUAGGAAGAUAUCAGCAAAUACUACAUAUCAAACAACAGUGACAUCAUCAGGAAUACUGAAUGCCUUAACAGAUAUCGGUUGUACCUAUUUGGUGAGGACCUCUGAAUACACUAACAGAUAUCGGUUGUACCUAUUUGGUGAGGACCUCUGAAUACACUAUAUUCUUUGUGUAUCUAUCGGUUGUGUCUUUUUGAUUCACCUUUUUCUUAUUUGAAACUGGAAUGUUCAGUUCCUGACCGAAAGUCAGAGCUCUCAAUCUUCCAAACCAAAGAUCUUUUGAGCAAAGUUCCUAUCUAGAACUUGCAGCCCUAUAGUACCUCUACAAGUUUGGUUAAAGGUGCUUGGAGAGUUUGUUAUUGGAUUUGGAUGAUCUGUGCUCGAGAAAAGGUAGCCUUUCGGUGCUUUGGAGAUAAUUGACAGGAGCAAAUUCUAAAGGUUCAGUGUAACCGGUGUUUUUCCCAAAGUUCAGAGACUUUUAUCUUUCGAUCCUAUGGAACCAAAGCCCUAUCUAACACAUGUAGCUCGUUGAUCCAGAUACAUCUUUGUAUAAAGACGAUUUGCAAGUUUAUGUUUGGAUUUGGACAAGAAUCGUUGGGGAAGGGACUGCUUUUCUGUAUUUCUGGAGCAGCUACAAGCAGCAAUAGCAGCUCGCAGCACUGCCACCACUACUUAAGCCUCCGCGGUGAAAAUCCUCACGUGCCACAUGCCGGCAAUGCCGCCGAGGCUGCAUGCAGGGCAGCGGCAGAGUGUCCUGCUCCGGCUGCCACCUGCGCCCAAUCCUCCUCCUUCGCCUCUCAAUUUUGAAGAAAGGAGAAGCUUUUUGCCCUUUAGCGCCCUCCCUUCCCUCCUUUUUCCACCUGAGCCCCCCUCUCUUCAGAAUUUGGAUUGCGGGUUGAUUCCAUAAAAAUUGAGGAACUUUUUUGCAAAAUGACCAUGACGUAUGAAAAAAAAACUGGGCAGAAACCUUACUUGCUUUAUGGAAAAAACAUGUUAGUAUGACAUAUUUUCACUUAUAUAUAUCAAAAUGCCCGAGCGUUCCUACGGUGAAAUGAUAAUCGUAUUUUUAAAACUCAUAUUUUUUUCUAUUUGUAUCACUAUAUAUUUAUUGCAUUUCUGUUAACAUAUAUCCUUAUAUUGAAAUAAUUAUUCAUUGAUGGCCAUCAGCCGUGGCUUCUUCUCAGGGUCGGACCCGUCGUACUGCUUCAACUCCUCUUGAGUCUUAAUUGUUUGCCUUACCGUUUUUGGCCCAAUAUCUCCCCCGACAUGGCAGCUUAACUUCGCACCUGGCUCGUAGCCAUCCAUCUGGAUUGGGCGGUCGAGACACUCAUGAUGCAAAACACAACUCGGACACUCGUGAUGCAAAACACAACUCGGUUCCAGCAUCUCAUGUGAAAUCCUAAGGUGACGUUUGGACGGUGGAUGUGAUAUGAAAAUGGAUAUAAGAUGGGAUACGGAGAAGUAGAUUAUGGAUUGGGAAAUAAAACUCCAAUCCGAAUCCAUGGUUUGGCUGUGCUUAGGAAAUGGUUUGGAUUUAAAGCGGAACCCACGUGCAAUAGAAAAAGAAAGGAAGAGGACUUGGCCGUUUUCUCUUUUUGAUGCAACGGCACCGUCAUAAUCCAAACUGCGAGGCACCCUUAUCUCUGGUUCUCUCUUCUCUUCGUCCACGCUGGACCUUACCCCGUAUUCGUGUUUAGGUUCUUUAAUUUGGGUCUAGAUUUUCUACGGGACCCACAAACUAAUUAAAAAAAGGACGGUCCUUAUCUUUUGGUGCCUUGUUCGUUCACAACCACAUGGUGCUACUCGAGCUCCGAGGCGAGCAGCACACUCUGCCAUAGCACGACAAGACCGAGGCCUUGUUUACUUUCCAAUUUGGGAGUGGGAAAAUUGGCAUUUUGCCAUAAAUGCGCAACUGUAGCGUUUCAUUUGUAUUUGUGAAUUAUUGUCCAAAUAUUGACUAAUUAGGCUUAAAAGAUUCGUCUCGCAAAGUACAACAAAACUGUGCAAUUAGUUUUUGAUUUCGUCUACAUUUAGUACUCCAUGCAUGUACCGCAAGUUUGAUGUGAUGGGGAAUCUUCUUUUUGCAUAGUGUCAAAAUUGGGAGUUUGGAAGGAAGUAAACAAGGGCCGAGGCUUCAGCUGCGUGCGAUUCGAGUGGCGGCGGCGACCACUACGCGCGGCACCUGCGGUGGCGAGCACCAUGCGUAGCAUCUACCGUGGCUGCGCUCCCGCUCGUGUGGCUGCGGUGGCGGUGGCUUCGCUUCCCUCCGCAUAACUCCGAGCGCAAGCCAUGCGGCGAGCUCCGACGUCCACAGCAUGCUCCGGUCCCGACACUUCAAGCUGCUGCGGUUCCUCUCGCUUGUGCGCGCGUGUGGACAACGCACGGGCAUCAGUAUUAUGGGGAGCUCCAGGCGGCGGCUGCGGCGGGGGAGAUCCGGGCGGCCGCGGAUGGGAAGCUCCAGUUGGCGAGCUCUGGGUGGCGGCUUCAGCGGGGGAGAUCCGAGCGGCUGCGGAUGGGGAGCUCCAAGCGGGCGCGUGGCGCCGCCUCGGCAACGGGCGGGCGGCGCGGCCGUGGUGGGGCUCCCCGCUCCGGCCGCUGCCCGCGCCCCGUCCCCCUCCUUCGCCUCCUUGUUUUGGAUUGGAGAAAGGAGAAGUUUUUUCCCUUUAAACGCCCUCUCUUUCCUCCUUUUUCAAUCCGACACCCAGACUAUUCAUAAUAAUGGACUGCGGGUUGAUUACACAAAACAUCAGGGUUUUUUUUGCAAAAUGACCACGAUGUACGAAAAUCCAGGCAGAGGCGUUACUUGCUUUAAUAAUAGGUAAAGAUAUUCUAUCCUAGUCAUCAAGAUUCUCUCCUCUAUAUCAAUUUCUCCAGCACCCGUGUUACUCUAUAUCUUAUACUCUAUACCAACUACCACAUAUUUUAUUCCCCUCCCUCCCUCUUUCCUUCUACCCAGCCGUUCCCCUCCCCCUCCCGAUGCCUCCUGGGCCUCCUCCCUGCCGGCUCCUUCCUCUUCCCUGCCGUCCCCCUCCUCCUCCCCGACGGUGGCGGUGACGGAUCCAGCGGUGGCGGCGGAUCCGAGCAGAGGCGCGCGGGGGGGGGGGGGGGAAGGGGGGGGGGAGGGAGGGGGGGGGGGGGGGGGGGAACAAGAGGACUUGGGGUUGGGGGGGGGGGGGGGANNNNNNNNNNNNNNNNNNNNNNNNNNNNNNNNNNNNNNNNNNNNNNNNNNNNNNNNNNNNNNNNNNNNNNNNNNNNNNNNNNNNNNNNNNNNNNNNNNNNUAACAAAGCCCAUUUCCCCACAUUUAGCCCAACACUGGACUAGUCAACACGGAAGCACCCCAACGGGGGUUGCAACCCAUCCCAUGGGGCCGGAACCAGGACCUAAGUCAUCAAGAGCUUAGUCCUUUUCCAAGGGCUCCCCGUUGCUCACCAGCACACCUAAAGCCCAGCAGUUUAGCUAGUGGGGUCUAUGGUAACCCGUUGCCCACACAACGGUGGAGUGGUUGCACGAUGAUGGAAUUAGACAGGGAUGACACAUCAACUCGGUCCUUAGCCAUGACAAGAUGGAUAUCUCCCACUGUGGUCAACCAGUCAGGUACGGGGCGUUGGGGCUGGCGGUGUCGGGAGGUGGGUAGCGGGCGCCCUGGGCGCCCGCCAGGAGUAGCGGACCAUUGGCCCUCCGCUUGGGUAGCGGACGCCUCCCGGUACCACAGUGCGGGGUUUUUUCCACUACCGCGUACUGAGGAUCGUUUACAGGGUGCCGGUGCGGACAACCUAAUGCUGUGAAAGGGUUAUAAUGAUGUAUGUUAUUCGUCCUGCUUGUAAUGUGACGUUCUUCAUCUUCUCACAAAUACUACAAGUUAAUUUAGGUUUUCAAUUCCCUAAUUCAAAUCUUAUAAACUUUGAUUAGAGAUUUCUAUAAAAAAUAUUCUUGAUAAAAGAGUUGCUGUUAUGAAUUCAUUUCAGAAAAAAAGUUGCUGUUAUGAAAAUAACUUUAUAAUCUGUGCCACUCAGGACUUUAGGGCAGCGUUCUUUUUUUGUUGUGGAUCCCUGGGAAGUGAUUUUGCACUGCAGCCUCCAAACGGUAGCCAGUUCAUCGAACUCUGAUAGUUAAAUUUGACCGCAGCAAUGGAGCUGCCCUUACUCAAAAUAGCCCACCAAUGCCAUCACCUAUCCUUACACAAAAAGCAAAGGACAUUAUCGAGGAUUAACAGCUAAAAGCAGCAAUCUAGCCCCACGCGAUGCAGGGAUACAAACAGGCCCAAGCUUUUACCAAUCCAUAUUUUAUAAGGCACAUACUACAUACCAUAUUUUUGAUAAUAUCUAACUAAUCCAAACAUGACCUUAAGUCUGACACAUACUCUCCCCAUAAAAAAAAUCAAGAGCAAAUAAUGAGGUAAAAUAACUUUAUUUGCCUCUAUUUAUUAACUAUAUUAUUUGGUAGUAACUGAUACCGUAUGCACAUGCACAUACCAAAUGUGACAGAAUGACUUGUUUUUGAUAGAUUUUGAAUCUUAGAAUGAUUAUUUUUUUGGACGGAGAACGUAUAGUAUUAUGGAGCACCAAGUGAUAAAUCUUGUUUCAUGCGAAAAAUGCAAGAACCAAGACCUAAGCCUCGUAAAAAUAAUCAUUUAGCGAACAAACACAUUUAAAACAACGGAUUGACCAUGUACGUUGACCGUAUAGCGCAGUGGAUAUCGCAUUUCACUACGAAUCAGAAGGUCGCGUGUUCAACGCCCACUGUGCCGAAAAUCGUAUGCUAAUGCUACUGAAGAAUUGAACAGAUGAUGAGCUGGCAAACUAGUUCCUGACCAUGAAAAGGCGACGUUUGCAUGUGCAUAAACUUAACAAGAUGAAGAACCAAAACUAAAUUACUCGGUAGUUCUCACCCAAAUAGUAAAAAACUGUCAAUUCAUCAUCUGCACAAGAUUAUAUUUACUCAUAAAUAUGACCGUAGCAUCGCACUAUUCCCGCAUGCCGCAAGAGAUAAUUAUCAAACUGCGCAAAUUUCAGAAUGUAUAUACAGCUGCUGAAUGACUUGGCGAAAGCUAAGGCUCACCAGCAAAAAUUUCAACUUCACGGUUCAAUCUAAGGGUGCAUUUUGCCGAGCUUCCAGAGCUGAUUCUCUGCUGAAUCUAGCAGGAGCUCUGCCAAACAGUUUUUUCAGGAAGAAAUGAUUCUCUGCUGAUUCUGUGAAGUGAUUCUCUGGAAUGAACUAAGAGACUUGGACUGAAAAAAGUAGCUUCUCCCGUGAAGUGAUUCUCCAUCGUUUAUGCUAGAGAAUCAAAGAGAAUCACUUUCAACUAUAAAAUCACUUCUCUUGAAGCUCCCAUAAAAAAUCAGAAUCAAAUGGAAUUUAAUCAGAAUUCAACAAAGCAGGCAGCAUCUAUUACAGCUUGUCACGGGCUUUCGCCCAGUAUAUAUCUACAGCUCGUCAUUGGGCUUUCACCUUAUCCGGGGUAGCAGCAGGGUGCUCAUGCUCGAGCAGAUAGCGAGCAGCCAACGCUGCUUGCGCAGCCGCGCCGUAGGGGAGGGCAUCCUCGUUGACAGUGAAGUAGGGGGAGUGAUGAGGCGCCUUCGGUCCACGGGUCUCGUUGUAUAUGCCCACGAAGUAGUAGCAGGUGGACGGUAUCACCUCAGCAUAGAAGGCGAAGUCCUCGGCGCCAUCAGUGGCUGCAUGUCUCUCACGUUCUUGGAGCCAACCAUUUCGCUGGCCACACUGACGAAGAAAUCGUGAAGCUCAGGGCUGUUGCUGGUUGAGGGGAAGACAGGGUCCUUGUUCAGGAAGUCCACGGUAGCACUGCAUCGCUGCACGGAUGCUUGAGACACGAUCACCUGGGACAUGAAAAACAGAGAAUAGCUGAGGAUCCUCUGCAGGACAAUCUACAGUGAAAUUUUCUUGAAGUAAAAUGUUGAAGAAAGAGGGGAGUAGAUGAGAACUCAGCACAGAUGAAUGUCAUUUCUGACCAUUGUGACCCAAUCACUUCCGUCUACUAACCUACCAACCUGUAAAAACAAUGAAAACCUGUUUUCCAAGUGCAGUAAAACUAUUUCUAAGGUGAAAGCUACAAAUCUAUAGCUGUAAUUUUCGCUUCAAUUAAAAUGUGAAAGAAAAACUUCUAAUCUGAGUACUCAAACAACAAAUUACAAGUGAGUCUGUAUCCAUGCAGCAUGUGUUCCAGUAUUGGCAGCACAUGUUCCUUAUCCAUAAACGAAAGUUUCUACGUGAGAGAAUAAGUGUCAGGAACUCCUCAAAUCGCCAGCAGUGUACAAUCUAACAAAGAUGGAGAAUAAGGGAAAACACCAAAUUUUAGAUGCGCACCAGCUUCUUUCUUCACCAUAUCCUUGGUUGCAGUAUAUACUUAAAUUAGGUGUCAGCCUAGAGCAUGAGGUGCCACUUACAAGUACCCACAUCUUAAAGCUAUCGAUAAAUGUGCAAAUUGAUCGUAUUUGAUAAUUAAAUAUUCUAGUUAGGUAUAGUGACUAGUCAUCUCAACAGCAAGUUCAAGUAGAUAUCUAUUUAAGGCAACCUUUUAGUCCUGUUUAUUUCUAAGAGAGCCUAAUUCCCAGAAAAUAAUUAAAAGAAACUACUUAAAUAGUAAGACAUAGUAUCCAAGCCAAAAUGCCAUUACCUCUUCAAUUCGAUGCUUCAGUUGAAUAAUACUCUCUUUCGAAAAGGCUCGGAAGGUGCCACCUAUUGUUACUGAAUCUGGGAUCACAUUGAAGGCCCCACCUCCUUGAAAAUUUCUAACAGUUACAACCUGCAAAAUAAAGCAUGGACCAAACCAGAAGGAAACACUUAUGUGCUGAAAUGUAAACAAGAAUAAAUUCCCAAAGUUUAAUAUAGCAGCAGUACUUCAGUAAGUACACUGAACAAACUGAUGGGAUCCUGGGAGUAGCAAUCAAAUAAACAAUUUGUAUAAUUCUUGUGGUGCAAAAUCAAUUUUUGUAUUUGGUACUACAAAUACCUAUAUUGAGCAAUUAAUGAGUGUAAAACUUAAGUUUUGGAAAUUGUAUAAUAAUGGAUACAGAAGAAUAUGUGCUGCCUAGUUAUAACACGUCCAGGCAAAUUAGGGCUGGCCUGUUGGGUAGUCUUCUAGGUUACAUGUUAGUAGCAGGAUAAAAAGUUCAACAAGAUCUUGACAAAUUUCAAAUAGAUCUCCCAACACACCUCAAAUCAUUCCAUAAAAUUUGUUCUAUUCUUGUUCUGUAGUUUAGACCAACAAAGCAGUACAUCACGAAACUUGUAUGGAAGGGAGAUAUGUAAAUCAUAUAAAUUGAAAUAGAAAGAGUCAACCAAGAACAUGCUUCCUUGCUUGGAAAUUUAUGGCAUACAACAACAAAUUAAGUCGGCCAAAGCUGGGACAGUACCUGUGAGUCCAAAGGAUCAGCUUCCCGUGAAACAAGUUGCUGAAGGCUCACAAAAACAUUUGAGGCAGCCAAUAUUGGAUCUAUAGUGUGAUGAGGAAGUGCAGCAUGGCCUCCCUUUCCACUUAUUACAGCCUCAAAGACUCCACCCCCAGCCAUAUAUAAUAGGCCCUGGUCUAGAUUCCAGCACACCAAUAGGAAAAGAGUUAGCUACGUGAAGCCCGAAAAUGGCAUCUACGUUUUCCACAGCUCCAGCUUCUAUCAUUUUCUGGGCCCCACCACCACCACUUUCCUCAGCUGGUUGGAAAACCAGGACUACUGUACCCUACAGUAAUCAACAAGAUAUUCAUAACCAUAUAAAAUUCGUAGGUGACUAAAAUUCAAAGAUUAAAAAGAUAAUUCAUAACUGACAUGGAAGCAAGUGAAUUAAGAGACUUAACCAGUAGAAUUGUCGAUGUGGACUACCAGGUUUAGUCGUGUGCUGUCCAAGCAUAAUAAUUACUUAAAAUCAAUUUUUGACAGACUAAACAGUCGUACUCACUUUCCCUACAAACAGAAACAUAAGCAAUUGACACAAGUUCUAAAUCUAUUGCCGAGAUUAAAAAUAUUGAAUAUACUGAUAAAAAAGCAGAGGGAGGUAAUAUAAUGCAUUUCAUAGGUCUACCCCUGAGGGGGAAAAGAAUGACUUUCUUGGACAAAAGAAGCUACCUCUUACAAAAUAUAGCGUCCAUUUUUAAGUUGUUCAAAAUAAAAUAUAAGAAAAACUACAAGUAGAUAACAGUAGGGAAUGAUCACAAUAUACAAGUGCUAACAUCUUCUAUAGGUUUUGAAAGCUAUUCUCCCAUUAAUUACACAAAUCUCCCGUAUCAUUGCUUGGACAUACAUAACAGGCACUAGGUGAACAACUGAACAACAGAAUUAAUGUGAGGAACCUCCAAGUUACACCCAUUUAAUCAAGUCAUCAACCAUUGAUCAACUUAACUAAAUAAGAAUAACUCCGGUCGUCCUUGAGAUGUGAGCAUUGCCUAGGAUUUAUACACACCUCACAAGCACAACAAGAUGAACACCAUCACAACAUAAGCAUUACACACAUAGUCCAUCACCUUACAUAAAAGAGUUCAAGUCACGUACAUAACAAGUUCAUAGAGUUUGCAACGGAAAGUUCUAUCAUCGCUCUCAACAUAUGAUACAACACAAAAUAAGAGGGUUAACACUAUAUGCUGAUAGUGCCUUCUCAUAGCCAUGUCCAUCACUUCCUACCCACACAUCCAUCCGUGGGGAAGAAGUACCCAAAGGCGGCCUCCAGCUGCGGAUCACCUGCAACAACUUAAUGGCGGCACCGUGAGUACAAAAGGUACUCCGCAGGUCUUAUCUAAGUAUGGGUAUAUACUUGCCCGACUCUCAAGGAGAAUGCAUUUGGUUAAGUAGCAAGGAAUGAGAGGGAGAGAGAGCUGCAAGGAGCUCUGGUUAGGCUUGAGACGUGGGCUGACGUUUGGGGUCCGUGGGGGAGACGUGGCGCAAAAGUUUUGCGCACGCGACACACACCACAGUGUGCUGGCGGACCAUCCGCGGUUGACGUGGCAAAGGAGUUGAGUGAGUCAUGCUUGACCGAGGUCAACAUGAUGACAUGUAUGGCAGACCGUCCGGCCCCCAUGGGCGGACUAUCCGCAGGUACCCAAAGAAAGCAUCAACUUUUAUUUAUUUGCAACUUAAUUUAAUGCUUAAUGAUGCUCAUGAUGACAUGCUUAACUUAAACAAGAUUAAGGCCUUUUACAAUUAAUCUAAUACCACCAAAAAUAUGCACCAAAACUAUGUCCCCUGGAAGGAAGGAUUGCACAUCCAACUGUUGCUAACCCAUUUACGAUUUAUUCAUAUUUAAAUUCAAAUUCAGAUAUCUCACUCAAAGUUUGAAUAGAGAACAUCAAAUAUUUCAGAACUUUUAAUUAUACAAUAAGAAAUUCUCAUUGCUUUAUAACUAAAUAAAAAAUAUUUCAACCAACCUUCAACUCAUCAUGAUGCUCCUGAAGAACCUUGGCACAUCCCAACAGCAUAGCAACAUUUGCAUCAUGUCCACAUCCAUGCAUCUUCUCAGGAACUUUGCUCUUGUGCUCCCAUUCCACGCUUUCCUGUAAAACAAGACAUCAAUUUUAACUAAUGGUCAAAUACAGAAUAAUUGCACUUCAGAAUCCAGAUUGGGCUACCGGAGUUUGCCACGAUUAAAUUGCUUGACAGGUUGCACAAACACUAGAAAUCUAAUUGCUUUCCGGUGUACAGCACAAGUACUUUUAAUCUAUGGUUUCCCUGAACUCAAUCCUCAAUAGUCAAAUUUUGCAAUGACCACCGGAAUACAAGUAUAUUUAAAAGAACUCAGAGGUGCGGAAGAACUUUGGUGGAACGGCGCACCUUUUCCAUGCAUCAGCUGCGUGUUUAUAUAGGUGAGGAAAAUCCCCUCGCAUGGAGUUACAAUCGGAUCACAAGUUGGUUGGGAUGGGCACUUCCUUGGAGUCCAAGCUAAAUACAUAAUCUAUCUAUUGUUACAACAAACAAACCUUUACAGAUAAGCCGAUCCCAAUCUCAACUGAUCACCUUAAACAAUACAAUGUCGAUAUCUCUUAUAUACUUCUAAUAGCCCCUCUCAAUCAUAACUGAGCUAGGUUAAGAUUGUGCUUGAAGUUCUCCAAUUUCUUAACAGAAAGAGCUUUUGUAAAACCAUCUGCCACUUGAUCUCAUGUCGGCACAUAAUCAAUCUCGAAUAACCUUUGAUUCCUUAUCUUACAAAAUGAUAUUCUACUUCAAUAUGCUUUGUUCUAGCAUGAAAAACAGGAUUAGCAGAAAGAUACUUAGCUCCAAUGUUAUCACACCAUAUCCUUGCAGCCACUGGACAGGAACUCCUAUCUCCUUAAGUAAGGUUUGUAUUCACAUAAUCUCAACAGUGGCAUUUGCUACAGCCUUGUAUUCCGCUUCUUCUGUGCUCGAUCUAGACAUUGUCUAUUGUUUGCGAGCACUUCAAGAAACUAAAUUACAACAAAAAAAAAUCGCAAAGCCUUCAGUAGACCUUCUGUCAUCUAGACAACCUACCCAAUCUGCAUCAGAAAAACCGCUGACAAGCAUGGACUUAGACGUAUGAAUCUUCAGCCCAAUUUUCGUACACUGCUUGAGGUAUCUCAAAAUACGCUUGACAGUUGCCCAAUGCAUGGUUGUAGGAGCAUGCAAAUAUUGACACACUUUAUUUACAGGAAAUGCAAUAUCUGGUCUAGUGAGCGUCAAGUAUUGCAAAGCCUCUACUAUACUUCUAUAUCUUUUAAGCAAAUCAUACGCAUAUUUGUCUUGAGUAAGAAUAAUUCCAUCACAAACCUUGCUGACUUCUAUGCCCAAGAAAUAAUGAAGCUCUCCCAAAUCCUUCAAUGCAAAUUCUUGCUCAAGACUGUGUAGGAGCUUCUCAGUUACACCUUGAACAGAACUUGCUACUAUGAUGUCAUCAACAUAAAUUAGCAAAAAUAUUGUCACAUUGUUAGUGUUAAAAUAAAAUAAUGAUGUGUCUGCCUUUGAGGACUUAAACCCAAGACUGUAUAGCUUCGCACUUAGUCGAGAAUACCAUGCCCUUGGAGCUUGUUUCAACCCAUAAAGAGCCUUGUCCAACUUACACACAUAAUUAAGCAUGGUCUUGUCUUCAUAACCUGGAGGUUGUCUCAUGUAGACUUCUUCCUCUAGUAUUCCAUGAAGAAAGGCAUUUUGUACAUUGAGCUGUCGUAGACUCUACCCUUGUGAAAUAGCAAUAGAUAAAACAGUUCUGAUGGUUGCAGCCUUAACAACAGGACUAAAGGUAUCAGGACUAAAGGUAUCUUCAUAAUCUACCCCAUAUCUCUGCUUAAAGCCUUUAGCCACUAAGCGAGCCUUGUAUUUGUCUAAGCUAUCGUCAACCUUACGCUUAAUUUUAUACACCCAUUUACAAUCAAUGAUAUUGCUGCCUUUCUAUGGUGGAACUAAAUGCCAAGUCUUAUUUCGAAGUAAAGCAUCAUAUUAUAUGUCCAUUGCAUGUUUCUAGUUUGCAUCUCCUAAAGCCUCUGAAGUAUUUUGUGGCUCACCAAUAGAAGUAAAGAAUCCAUACCGAACUGUACCAUCAGUAUACACCUUGGGUUUGCAUAUCCUAUCUCGAAGGUGAGUAUGUGGUCGUCGAUGUGGUUCUGCUGGUUCAGACGGAGCUGCCGCAGAAGAUCCAAUUUUGGCUCCCCUAGGAUUCGAGGCAGAUCCGACAGGUGGAGCUAUAGCAGGAUCCGUCGCCGAUGCACGUGCUGUCGGGAGGUCACCCGACCGCAUGUCGGGUGAAGGUGGUGUGGCAGCGCUGGAGAGGCCACGCUCAGGCGAGGCAAGAGGGUGCCCUCACCACGCGUCGUACAAAGAUGGGAGGUGCGCGCCCAUCGGUGAUGGAGGAGUGCGGCCUGCCGCAUUGGGAUCCGCCUGGCGCAGCCCAUGAUCCGAGGUAGAUCCCAUUCGCUGCUACAUGGCACGGAGCGAAUCUCCCCCGGCACCUGAGCCUAGAAGGGUGCUGUUAUUUGAUGUACCACUGGUAGUAUGGAUCUGGUCAUUGCCGGAGUACUUCUCCCUCAUCGCCAACUUCUCCAAAUCUCCCGUGAUGUGGUCAUUAGCACCGGUAUCCAUGUAGGUAGCAGCCGCAACAUUCUUCAGGUCUGGCACAUAGUUUUCAUCAAACCUAUGCUAGUAUCUAUCAGUUGUGUGUCCCCUCUUGAGACACACCUGACAUAGUGAGCAUUCGGUGGAGUUGUUGUUGAAGCGCUGGUUGGAGUUGUUGCUGUUGUUGGGUGGACGCGAGUUGGUGUUGUUCAUGGUGCCUCCUCCCUAGCCACGACCAAAGCCUCCAUGGCCAUGGUUGUUGGAGCCGCCACCACCACGUCCUCGGUUGCCCUUCCCUCCACGGUUUGCCAUGUUGGCAGAUGAACUAGAGGAAGAGUGGCCACUCUGGAGCUCCAUCCUGGUUUCAAAAGCAAGAAGCUACAAAUACACUUCGCUUACCGAGGGCGCAUCUGAUCUUGCAACAAGAGUAGACACAAUGGGGUUGAAGUCGUGAUCAAGCCUAGUGAGGAUGUGCUCGAUGAGUUCCUCUUUUUCCACCGGUCUUCUAGCGGCGGCCAUCUCGUCGCCUAGGGCCUUCAUCUUCCUGACGUACUCCGCGAUCGUCAUGGAUCCCUCCUAGGUGGUCGCAAGAGCUAGGCGCGUGUUCACCGCGCGAGCCUGGGUGCGCGACGAGAACAUGUCUUCAAUCAUCUUCCAGGCUUGAGCUGCUGUCUCCAUCGCAGCUAUCUGUCCCAGCACAUCCUUGCACACGGAGGUGAGUAGAAAACCAAGGACUUGCUGGUCCGAGGUAUACCACUCAUCCCAUGCCGGAUUUGGGAUCUUGACAUCUUUGCCGACGGCAUCCUUCCCACCAGUUUCAGCAGGAGGUGCAGCUUUGGCACCGGUGAGGUACCCUUGGAGACAUUCUCCACGGAGGGUCACAAGGACCUGGGCCCUCCAUGUGGCAUAGUUGAGCCUGGCGAGCUUCUCUGUCACGCUCUGGCCAGACAAGGGAUUCAUUGCAGCUCUGGAGGAUGAAGCCAUGGCUUGAGGUGGAUUGGAUCUAAGGAAAGCUGGCUCUGGUUACUAUAAAAGAACUUAGAGGUGCGGAAGAACUUUGGUGGAACGGCGCACCUUUUCCGUGCGUCAGCUGCGUGUUUAUAUAGGAAAAUCCCCUCGCAUGGAGUUACAAUCAGAUCACAAGUUGGUUGGGAUCAGCACUACCUUGGAGUCCAAGCUAAAUACAGAAUCUAUUUAUUGUUACAGCAAACAAACCUUUACAAAUAAACCUCUACAGAUAAGCUGAUCCCAAUCUCAACUAAUCACCUUAAACAAUACAGUGUCAAUAUCUCUUAGAUACUUCUAAUAGUAUUCGGGUUGAUUUAUAACAAGAGCAUAUUGAGUUUGAAUGCCUAGCAAAUUUACACCGUUAGCGUAUUGAAAGGCGCAGUUUUAGCUAUCGAUAACUAGACCUAGGAAGCCUCCUAUCAUUAGCAAAACCCAGAAAUUAUUUCCUCAAUUCGCAACAAAAUCAAGAAGCAGAGGAACCCAACACAGUAGGGGGAGAGUAGCCAAGGGCCAGCCAGCGCAAUGGACCUGCAUGGGUAGUGCGUCCAUGUCUGCCCGAAGCACAACGAAGGGUGGGCCCCCGGUGCCGAUCGUCGCGACCAACCCGGUGAUGGCGAUGGGGUGUUGAGCUCCCGGCGCACGAGCUCGCUAGUCUUGAACUCCUCGUAGCCCAGCUCAGGGUUCUCGUGAAUCCGCCGCCGCACCCCGACCAUUCAGUCCAGGAAUGCCGGCUCCUUUGCCCGCCGCAGGAGCUCCGCAGGGUCCUCCAGCGAUGCCGCCGCCGAAGCCCAGACCGCUGUGGAGGCGACGGCGAGGGUGGCAAGCAGGAGAGGCACCACUGUGGAGGCUACUGUGCUACUUGCUGGUUCGUUUUAGUUGAUGACUGAUGAGGCAGCUUCGCUUUUGAUGAGGGCAGCAGUUGAUUUCCUUUUUCUUUUUCCUCCCAACUUUUUUCCUUCCUAGUCACUAAAAAAACCUUUUUCCGUCCCAUUUCCAGCCCUGUGCAGCUUCCUUCCUAUUUCUAGCCCCGUGUAGCUUGUGACUCUGCUGACUGCUUGGCUAAAAAUCAGGUAUGUUUAGCUUCAUUCGGGGUGAUGAGAUUUUUUUUAUUUUUAACCCCAAUUUUAUUUGCACGGUGUGAUCCUUUUGAUCGUGCCGUGCGCCGUGGUGCAGCAGUUAGCCGCUGCCGCGCCACGUGCACUUGCACUAGGUUUAGGAUUUCAUUUUGAAUUUUUCAUGAUUUAUAAGUUUGUUAUGUAGUAAUGGAUGCUUAGUUUAUACGCAGUCGACUCUUUGCCCAUGGUUUUAACGUGUAGAAGUAGUUGCAUGCAUCGAUUUAUAUAGUUGUUGAUGUAUUUGUGUGGUGUACAUGGCAUGUGUAGGUUUAUUUGUUUAUUAUGUCAAAUUAAUGUAGUUUAUUGUUGUUGUUUGUAGUAAAUGACCUAUAUUUGGUAUGUUAAAGUCUUUGCAUUUUGUAAAUGGAUCGUUUAGUUCGUAUGUUUCAUAGUGGGAUUGUGAAAGAGAAUGGGGAGUUUGAGAAUAUGAAUGAGGUAGUGGAGUUGUUCGAUGCUCGUCCAAGUUUUAAAGAUUUAGUUGAGCGUGUAAUGACAGAGUAUGGAUGUGGAGUGGAUGAGAUGACAUUGAGAGGCCAUUCUGAUUGUAGGAAAGCUAGACCUCAUUAUGUUCUCAUGAAUUUGGCAUGCGAGUCUAAUUGAAAGCAAUAGAAGCAGGUAGUUGAGCAUACAAAUGUUGUAUGUUUGGACGUGGUAGUUGAUAUUUGUCGUAGGCCUAGCACAAAUGUUGCCUUGAGAGAUGAACUCCAGAAAGUGGUUGAGAAUGGUACCCAAGAGUCAACAAUUUUAUAGCAUGGCUUAGGUAAAAGCCAAUCUGAUUUUGGCUUGGCCAUUGGAAUGGUGAUUUUCCUAAUGAUACUUUUGAGCGGGAAGAAGCAAACAUAGAUGAUGAUGACACAACUCUAGGUUCCGAAGAUGAUGAUGUUGAGGAGGAGGAUAGGGUAGAAGAUAUUCAGGCCAACGCGCAUGAAGAUGUAGUAGUCAGAGAUGGAUCUGAAUGUGAGGAGGAGGAGUCACAAUCUGAGGAGGAUAGGCUGCAAGUCAACACUACAACCGUGCAUGAUAUAGAGGACAUUGGCCGUGUGGACGAAUGUUAUUCUUACACCCCUAAUGAGUUGUAGUUGCUGAAGGAAUGUCAUGUCGAACUCCCGUCCGUUCCCAAUACUAAGGACAUAAGCAUGGUCCGAAAAGCCUUAUUGAAUCUACUAUGGUGAAUUCGGAACGAAUAAGCUAUAGUGAGAAUCCAGUGAUUAAGAAGGGAAUGAAGUUCAACAGUCUUAAGGAGCUCAAGUUUUUCUUGGAUGACUACGUAGUGAGGUUACAUAGGCCUUUCAAUGUAGUUCACUCUGACAAGAACCUAAGGUAUGAUGUCAUGAGCAAGCAAGGAUGCAUGUGGCAUGUAUGGUCCCACCUUAUUAGAAGCACGGGACAAUGGAGGAUUUCAAUGGUUGUGCAACAUCAUACUUGUCGUUCUUCUCAGCCGAAGGGAGUGCACACAUAGUGCAUAGCUACAUACCUUGGGCGGCGCAUCCUAGGCAUUGUCCGCGUCGACAGCGAGACAUCGAUGCCAUCUCUUGUGGAGUCCAUAUUUUCCUUUAGUGGAUACGAUGUCAAGUAUUCAAAGGCAAGGUGGGCGAAACAUGCCAUUGCACUACUUUGGGGAGACUGGAAGGAGUCAUAUGGCAUGGUUCCUAGGGUCCUCACUGCUAUGGCCUACUAAUAUCCCGGGAUUAAAUGGUUCCCUCACACGUCCGGCAUGAUGCAACCUGACGAUGGUGUUUAUAAGCAUGUCCUCAAAGGGAUUUUUGUGCUUCCCACAAUGUCAUGUAUCUUUCCAACAUUGUCGUCCUGUGAUACUUGUUGAUGCUACAUUCUUGACCGAGAAGUACAAGGGUACACUAAUGAUGGUUGUUGCUGUAGAUCCAGAACAACAGCUUGUGCCUCUAGCUUUUGCCUUGGCCGAGAGUGAGAACAACGACAGUUGGUCAUGGUUCAUGAAACUCGUUUACCGAUACGUACUUGAACCGUCACGUCAAGUAUGUAUGAUCUUAGAUUGGCACCAUGGCCUCCUAAAUUGUGCGAACGACCAUAUGGAUGGCUUUCCACCGCUUGUGCAUAGGUGGUGCAUGAUGCACUUUGCUGCCAAUAUGUGGCGUCGAGAAAAGAACAAGGAAGUGAUUGGAAAGUUGAAGGUUUUAUGCAUGGUACAUACGGAGAAAGAAUUUGAAGAGAAGUUAGAAGACCUAGUGAAGGACUUGAAUGAUGAGGCAAAACAAUGGUUGAAGGGUGAAAUGGAGGAUAAACACAAAUGGGUGUAGGCUUUCGAUGAGGGAGGGAUGCGUUAUAGUAUUAUGACCACAAAUUAUUCGGAAUCCUUAAACAAUGUUUUCAAAGGCAUCCGAAGUAGACCCGUAGCCGGAAUUAUCGAGUACUCUUUCAAAAAAUGCAAUGAGUACUUUGUGCACAGAUGGUGGAAGGCACGUGAUUUGUUGAAUGAAGGUUAUAGGAAUCAUAAGAUUGCAGAUGAUCAUAUAGUAGAUGUUGAGCUAAGGUCUAUUAACCAAUUAGGAGAACCGUACAGACUAGAAAGAAUGGUAUAUUAUGUAAGAGGUGUUGGUGGUACUAACGUUGGCGGUGAGAGUCAUGGAGGCUGAAACUAUAGAGUGGACCUCAACGAAGGUGCGUGUAGCUGCAAGGUUCCUCAAUUGUUGCACCUUCCAUGUUCACACUUAAUUACAUCUUGCAAGGCUAGAGGUCUUAACUUUGAAAGCCCCACGUAUAUGUCACCGUUGUACUAUAGGGAGCACACCAUUAAAAUUUGGAAAUCCAGCUUUGAACCGUACCUUGAUCCUUUCCAAUGGCCGCCAUAUGAAUGUCUAGAGUACAUGCCUGACUCCGCUUCGAAGAGAGACAAAAAUGGUAGGAGGCAGAAGAAGCAUUUUAAAGGCGACAUGGACGAGUUGCAAGGGAGAUUUUUAGUUGAUGCCGAGUUAGAUAAUCGUUGCUCCAAGUGCCACAAGUUCAUUAGGGACUGUACAUGCCGUAAGAAGAAAUCUAAGGGGGAAAAAGAAAAGCAAGCGUUCUUCCAAUGCUUAUGUAGCAUCAUAGACACUACCUAUAGACAUCGUAGGUUGGGACUGCCCUUAGUGGCCAUCUGGAUCCUCUCCUGGCGACCUAUCUGGUCGGGCCCAUCAUUAGCAAUUUGUUGAAAGGUAUUUAAGGUUUAAGCUGCACGAUGGCUGUGAGCAAUUUGUUGAAUUCAAUAUAUAUGGGGGGUGAUUAAAAGAUUGCAGGGUGAGCAACGAAGGUUGAGAAAAUCCAUGUAGAGUGAGAGAGGUGCUGCGUGAUGAUGAAUUAGUUCGCAGUAGAGGUUAAGGCCGAAUAUGGGAGAGGGCCCAAUCCAUCAAUAAUGUGUAUCAAUAUUCCUUGUUUACCAAAUUUGUUAUACAUAUAUUAUCAUUUCCCGUAUCAACGGAUGAUCGAAAUUAUUUUCAGAAGAAGUACCCUGCGAAAGAACUAUAACACACCUCACAUAUAUCAAAUUAAUUCCUUUGAAACAAUUUCAAUCUAUUGUAAACUAGACAGAUCCUUGCAAGAGGCAAUGAGAGAAUUAAUCAAGUUGUUUUUCCACAAUGAUCAAUGAUGACUAAAUGGGAAAUUCUUGCAUGCUGAGGGAUAAAGGAGGUUUGGCAAUCUUUGUAAUAAAUGCUUGCAUAGUAAGUGGUUAUUUAAACUUAUUAAUGAAGAUAGAUUAAGGAAAACCUAAGGAGGUUUGGAACAAUUACACGAGUUGAAAAUAUACCUAGAGUUUCUAAUUUUUGGUCUGGCCUUAUGAAGGUUAAAAAAGACUUUUUAAGCACGAGCUGAUUCAACUUAGGUGAUGAGACUUAGAGAAAAUUUUGAGAGGAUGUCUAGUUCAGUUGUAUGGCUCUUAAAGAUCAAUAACUAGAAAAUAUGCGCGGCAUUACCACGCUUGCAGCUUUUUUUUUUGUCUUAGAUGACCCGUACCAAAGGUGCAUGUAUCCAAGCAUAUCAAAUUGAAUUUGAAUGAAGAUGUGCCUCAGUUUAUAUUUGGUCAAGCCAUAGUAAUUUGAUCAAGUGCCUGAAGAGCUCGAACCUCAAUUAUUUUUCAUCUCAAUGUAUAAAAAACCAUAGUAAUUUGUUUCAUAUAUAUUCAGACAUUUUUCAUCCUUGAUGUCAAAAUCGCAUGAAUCCUCAGCAUGUCACCAUGGGGCAUGGGCCACUGCAUGUCUGUACCUUGCAGGAUGUGUUCGCUGAACUUAAGGCCAUUGCUGCAUAAACAAUGAUGACAGCCCGAAAAAAACGACGAAUGAAGCUUGAAAAAUAUUCCUUUGCAUAUCAAAUUGUAAAAAAGGCAGUUCCUGCAUAAACAACGAUGAAAAAAAUGAUGAAUGAAACAUGAAAAAUAUUCCUUUGCCAUCUUUGUAGCACAAAUGCUCGAAUAUAACAAUACAAGUCACAUCUUUAAAACGAUAUAAUGAAACUUUCAUAUGGAGUGAGUGAAGUUCAUCCUUAUGUUUCAAGAUUUUAGGAAUAGUUGGCUGAGGGAGAAUAAGUAAAAUGCUAGUUACAUUCCCGAUACUGUUAUGUACCAUGACAUUUGAAACUAAAUUGUAUAGGUGGCUAAUAUGAUCUUUGCCUGCUCCAAAAGGGUCCUAAGAUCUUCGAUGGGAUAAACAUGUUUGCAAGUCCCAAUUUGCAAUUAUUACCUCAGUUGUUAGAUUCAAACAAUUUUUUAUUAUAUGAAAGAGCUAUUAUGUCACUUCUCAUAGAAUUUGCAACCAAUUUUGGGAAUAAUGUUAAUUUAUACACCCUUUUAAAAUACUAAAGCAGUUCUGUGAUUGCCAGUGUCAAAAUUGUAACAAAGUAGUCAGCUUUUGUUGAGCCUUGUACAUUGAGAUAAAAAAAAUUGAGGUUCGAGCUCUUCAGACACAUUGUAGGCUGUUGAGAAAAAGUAGUUUCCUUCAUUAAUAAAUAAUAAUGGAACUGGGUGAACUUGAUCAAGCAGUAGGGCAUAUAUAUUGCAGACAGUAAGGCCUUAUUUCUGCUUUUUAUUUUCAGUAUUAGUGUCACAUAAAUCUGAUCGGCCAGUAGGACAUAAAUAUUGCACUUGCAGGUAGUACAACAUUAUUUCUCCCUUUUAUUUUCAAUACGGAUGUUGCAUAAACAAUCACAAGAGAAUUGCUAGAUUAGUCAUUAUAACUGAUGGCAAAAGUUAGUUUAUGUAAAAUCUGUUGAGAAUUUCGUCGUGCAAAACACAAUGAGAAAUAAUUUCACCUGUUGAUGGUACGCAGAAGUUUAACUGAGCUUUUCCGUAUUCAGGGUCUUCUGGAAAGUUGGUACACCUAACUUGUGUUAACUGUAUAUAUGGAAUAUUUGGGUUCAAAUUAGCAAUACUUGUGUUAAAUAACUGCCUUUCCUGGAGGAGCUGCUUGACUGACAGAUAGUAGCACCCCAGUCUAUUUCUUAUUUAGUAGAGUAAUACUAUUUGUCUUUGAAAGAAUUUCUUUUUAUGGUUGAGUCCCUUAUCACUUAUGUAUUAUUAAAUACUAAUGUUGUUGUUUUCUAGCUGUUCAGUUUCAAGUUAGGAAGGAUAAGUACGAUAAUAUGUAGGCCAGCUAAGUGUUGUUGGUUUAAUUUCUAGCAUUUAUAAAAUUAGAAACUGAAUAUCGCAUUUGUCUUCCAGCAUCUACCAUUAGGCUAGAAGAUAAGCCUUUGAGGAUAGACUAAUUUUUUUGUAAAAUGCAACUUAUUUCGUACCUCUAUUAUAUUUCUUUUCAGCUAGUAGGUAGUAACCUGUUGAAGAGUGCAGAUUGCCAGUGUAAAUACCUCUGCUCUCAAAAGUUCAAGCUUGUGUGAAACAUGGGAUCCUUUUUGGCCUACUGAUGGAAUUUGAGGAAAAAUCAGGCACCUCCAGCUUGCCAUUGUUGACUCCACAAUGUUGCUCCAGCACUCAGUAUGCAGGACACAUAGCUCCCUAGGCACUGUACAAAAUACAUGGCAGUUAUGUAGAUGCAGUAGAUUCACACAUCACCAAAUCAGGUGGACUAAAUUGUAGUGGCGACCAGUUGCCCUAUUAUGGUGAUGAAACAGGAUAUUUUGUGGCGGUUCUGAGUACAAACCUGAGCUGGAGAAGUUGCUCUUGGCUUCUUCUCGUCUCAAAACUGCUUGUUGUGCAGUGUCUAACCUCGUUGCCACCAGCUCAAUGCAGCCAUCACUAUUGCAAGCGACUGAAUGUUGUGCAGCCAGAAAAAUGGGAUGCUACUGACGCCUGAUCUUGUGUCCCUGGGCUCCGGCAAGGAGCGCCGGUCAGAAAUAACAUCGAACAUGUGGUGGGCUCCGUGGCAAUUGGGUUGAGAUCGACGGUCUGAGAAAGAAGCAAUGAACGUGUAGCAGGUUGGAGGCAACAUAGCACGUCUUGUGUUCUUUUUUGUACUCACGCUGAUGCCGAUCAUGCUGGUUCCUGUGCUACAUCUCGUCACCGUCAAUGCGUAGCAUUCGCCUCCGUCGUGGCAUCAAGGGCAUUCCACCGAACACCUCAUAAGUGCCAUCAUGUGAGAACAACGAAGAAGGAACCCGCCCCACUACUUCUUGACCCCUGCGGCCCUCCUGGCCGAGCACGAGCUGGCCUCGACCACUGUCGAGGGGCUAGGCAGCAGGCACCAAGCAUAAAGGAGGUGGGAUGCAGGCGCGCUGCGGGCACAGGGGUGGGCUCUAGGUGCGACGCGGCGGGAGCGGGGCCGGGCUAUGAUGUAUCUAGUGGUACUAGUUUGGUAUUAUAAUUUAUAAGUAUUAACACUUUUUCAUAUGAGAUUGGUCAAACUUAAGUUACAUUGACUCUGACCAAUCCUAGAGGUAGACUGUUUGUGGAAUGGAGGGAAUGUUUGAUAUUGUGUCGGUAUGCAAAAUAGUACUAAUUGUUUAAGAGAGGAUGUUCUAUUAUGUGAAUUAAUUGAUGCUAUAACAUUGAUGCCUGCGAUAGAAAUGACAGCCAAGAGGUGAUAGAUGAUUUAGCUAAAGUCAAGAGGAUCUGCGUAUGGAAAGCAAUUAUUGGCAGGCAAUCAACGGGGACACGUUUUAGAAGGGCAUAUUUGAUCAUUUACUAUUCUUCUUAAUCUGUAUGAAAAAAGCUAAACGUAUCUAUAUUUUUGGACAGAGGGGGUAUAUGAUGAGGAUGGAUCCUUUGAGCAGGAAAAAUUAACUGGUACUCCCUCUCUAUCUCUAGAUAUAAAGGAUUUUGAGUUUGUUCAAAGUCAAACAUUUUCAACUUUGACCGUCUCUAAUGAAAUGUUUAAAGACAUUAACAAAGUCUAAAUUAUAUUAUUAGAUUCAUUGUAGAAGCAAGUAUCAUAAUAUAAGUAUCAUAAUAUGUAAAUUUUUUUAUUCUAAAUAUUUUAUUUUUAUAGACAUUGUUAAUAAAAGAAGUUUGACUUUACAAAACCUAGAAUCCCUUAUAUUUAGGGAUAGAGGGAGCAGCUCAAAAAGAAAAAAAAAACUGGCAAGCGGUAGCAUUGGAAACCACCCGCGGCAGCCGGCAGGCCUGGCGCACAAGAGAGCCCAAACGACCUGGUGCUGCUCUCUUGUACGGCCCAAACAUAAAUGGUACCAUCAGAAGUGCACAAUCGCUACACUGAUGGAAGAAAACAAACAAAAAACAAGAAAACGACUCCUAUCCGCAGACUUUAUCGCCUUCCGGUGUUGUUCCUAGAGCACGGUUGACUCCUUGUGUCCAUUCUUCCACCAUAUCAGGUAUCGGACAAAACUCGAGCAUAUGCUAAUCUAAUGAUGCAGCAUCCAAGAUGCAGCUCGAAUUUAGGUUUACACCUCGAGAGUCAUGAUCGCAGAGAUGGGUUCGAUGACAACACCUCCAAAGAAGUGCAUGGCGUCCAAGGACAUCAUCAUCGUCGGCACCGGCAAACGCCGACUAGGCUUUCUCCAUUGAUCCGAGCCCAUCAACCGAACCCCAUGGGAGGCAUCCAUGAGAACCACCAACCCAUCAUCAGCGGCAUUGGCACCCACCACUGCUGGGAAAAGCGCCUUUAGUAUCAGUUCCUAACCCCCUUUAGUAUCGGUUGCGCAACCGGUAUUGCUACUUAGAUCCUAAAGGGGAUUUUUAGUUUUGGAUCAAAUAACCGGUACUAAAGGGGUAUUAAAAAUAAUAAAAAAAGAAAUCCGCCGACCGGAUCCUCAGCCGCACCAUGCCGCCAUCCACCUGAGCAUCGGAGCCUCGGCUGCACCACGCCACUGUCCGCCAAAGCGCCGGAGUCCCGGCCGCACCCCGCUGCCGUCCGCUAGAGCGUCGGAGCUCCGACCGCACAACACCUGAGCCCUGCACCAGAGAGAGGGAGGGAGGGAGGGUGGCGGUGUACUUACGCUGCUCAGCCACCGUCGCCGGUUGUCAUCACCGCCGGAUUUGAGUGAGAGGUGGCCGCUCCUUGCUCCGCCACGCCUGCUGAUGCUCCGCCACCGCGCCCUCCCGCCGGAGCUCCGCCGCUCCUUGCCCCACCAUCACUCCUUGCUCCGCCACGCCUUGUCGACGGUCCGCCACCUCACCACACCCUCCGUUCUUGCCUCUGCCGCUCCUUGCCCCACUGCCGCUCGUAGCCACAUGUAAGAGGUGAGGGGCGAACGGAGGAGGGAGGAGAGGGUUGGCGACGGGAGAGGUGGCGAGGGGAUCAAUCUAUGUAGGGGAGAAAGGGCGGGGAGAAGAAGAGAGAGACACACGAGCGAGAGAUCGGAUGAGGGGGACGAGCGGAUAAGUACGUGUGGGGAGGGGGUGAGCGUGGGGGAGGUUCCCCUUUAGUACCGGGUGGAGCCUUCAUGCGGUACUAAAUGUCACCCUUUAGUACCGGGUGAAGCCUUCACCUAGUACUAAAGGCCCUCAGGCACAUUAGUACCGGUUGGAGGCUUCAACCGGUACUGAUGGGUGACCUUUAGUUCCAAGUCAAAAAACCGGUACUAAAAGGGUAUUAAAAAUAAUAAAAAAAGAAAUUCGCUAAUCGGAGCCUCAGCUACACCCCGCCACCGUCCGCCAGAGCGUCGGAGCCUCGGGCGCACCCAGCCGCCGUCCGCCCGAGCGCUGGAGCCCCGACCGCACAGCACAUAAGUCCCGCACCAGAGAGAGCGGGGGGAAGGGGGGGAGGCGGCGUACUUACACUGCUCAGCCACCGCUGCUGCCGCUCCUCAGCUCGCUGGUUGCCGCCGCCACUGAAUCUGAGGGAGAGGUGGCCGUUCCUUGCUCCGCUGUGCCUGCCGACACUCUAACACCAUGCCCUUCCGCUGGAGCUCCACAGCUCCUUGCCUCGCCGCCGCUCCUUGCUCCGCCACGCCUCGCCGAUGCUCCACCACCUCGCCGCACUCUCCGUUCUUGCCUCCGCCACUCCUUGCCCUGCCGCCGCUCGUCGCCACAUGUAAGAGGUGAGGGGCGAGCGGAGGUGGGAGGAGAGGGGUGGCGAUGGGAGGGGCGGUGAGGGGAUCGAUCUGUGUGGGGGAGAGAGGGCGGGGAGAAGAAGAGAGAGAGGCACGGGUGAGAGGCCGAAUGAGGGGGACGAGCGCAUAAGUACGUGUGGGGAGGGAGGUGAGCGUGGGGGAGGUUCCCCUUUAGUACUGGGUGGAGGCUGCAUCCAGUACUAAAGUCACCCUUUAGUACCGGGUGAAGUCUUCACUCGGUAAUAAAGGUCCUCAAGCACAUUAGUACCAGUUGGAGGCUUCAAUCGGUACUAAUGGUGAUAUUCCUACGUCGCUUUGAGGUUAACUUUGGGGAAUACAUUGCUGCGAUUUAAUAACGUCGCGGGAGGACAUAAAUGAGACCAUCCGUUUGACAAGGAGAGCAAUUGAGGCUUUGGAUUUCGUCAAGAGUGGAUGGAUAAGCAAUAUUAGACAAUUGCUUAUAAUUAUUCUCUUCUUAUGUACUCUUCUUCCUUUUAUUUAUUCUUUUAAUGAUCAACUAUUGAGCUGAAGAAUAUGUAAGAACUUAGCUGCGUGCGUUUAUUGCAGAGGCCGGAUGUAUUUCUAUUUUUUAAAAAAAUUUCACCACGCCAGCAACGCACCAGCAGAUGCUUCUUGUGCAUCGCCUCAUCUGACUGAACCAUACAGAAACGCAUACCACACGGUUUUCUUCUGUAUACGAUUAUCUCUGUACUAUAUCAACUACAAACUGUUCUGCAUUCCCGUGCCUAACCCUGCACCGACGUCGUCGGCGCCGCCGUGUUUUGGCUGUUGUCCCUGGCGAAGAACCCACCCCGGCUUGGACGGGGCCUGGAGGCUGAUCGUGUCGGUGCCGAGCAUCAUCACCACCGAAGACAUCACUGGCCGGGCCGCCGGAUCUCCCUGGACGCACAACAACCCAAUAUGGAAGCAUCUCAACACGUCGCCCUCCGGGAAGCUGCCGUUCAUGGACGGGUCUACCAACUCCAUCACCGUCCCGGCCUCCCAAUGCUCCCAAGCCUGCACGGUGGCUUGUAUACAUGAGCCAAACUGUACCAUUGCAACAAUAUAAUGGUGAUAAGAUGUUUAUCAGUUCGCGCUUACAGUGUUCAAGAGAUCUCCAGACUGUUUGGAGUUGUUCCUCCCCGUGACGAUCUCCAGCACCAUGACGCCGAAGCUGAAGGCGUCCGACUUCACCGAGUAGUUCCCGCGCAUCACGUACUCUGGCGCCAUGUACCCACUGAAGCGAGAAACCAAGCAAAAUUUCAGUGACCUUUUCCUUAAGAUAUAUACGCUGAACCUGAACAGAGGUAAAACAGAGUUUUGGUGGUGCUUACUAGGUUCCGACGAUUUGGCUUGUGUUUGCCUGCGUCUGGUCCCGGUCGAAGAUCCUUGCAAGGCCGAAGUCCGAGAUCUUGGGGUUCAUGUUCGCGUCUAACAGGAUGUUGCUAGCCUUGAGAUCACGGUGGACAACUUUGAGCUGCGAGUCCUCAUGGAGGUACUGCAGGCCUCGAGCGAUGCCAUUUAUGAUCCUGUACCUCUGCCUCCAGUCCAGCUUCUCAUGGUUCUCAUUCUCAGUGUCUGACAUGAACAUACAGGAAGUAGGAGUGAUCAAAUAAUGUGAUGGAUACAGAACUUGCCGAGAAAAUGAAGAAGAAAAUUGAAUGGGUCGGGCAAGGUUAAAGCAGUACCGAAGAGGAUCAGGUCGAGGCUCCGGUUGGGGACAUACUCGUAGACGAGCAGUCUCUCCUGCUGCUCAAGGCAGACGCCGACAAGCAUGACGAGGUUCUUGUGCUUCAGUUUGGCCACCAGCGCGAGCUCGUUCUUCAGCUCGUCCUCUCCCUGCGUCGAGCUGUCCGACAGCCGCUUCACUGCUAUCUCGUCGCCGUCGGGGAGGACACCCUGAACAAAUCAAAGCAACGUAAUAAGCUUCAAUUCAUGGGCAUAUUUUUCAGUUCAGAAAUUCACAAGCCAUGCCUAAUUACUUGUUCAGUUCAGAAAUUCACAAGCCAUGCCUAAUUCACAAGCCAUGCCUAAUUACCUUGUACACCGCGCCGAACCCGCCUUCGCCGAGCUUGUUGCUCUCGUCGAAAUCUCCGGUCGCCGUUCGCAGGGUCGAGACGUCCAUCAUCAUGGAGUCCACCAUUUCCACAUCCUCUGCUUGAUCUGCUCAAGAAUCAAUGGGACAAGUCAUUUCUUUUCGUGUUUUCAGGAAGUGUGUCACGCUAUGAGACCAGAGAAUUUUGCAGGAACAUACAUGGCUUCUUCGCUUCCGCAGUUGGUGGCCGCCGCUGCCGCUGCCGCCGCCUCCAGAAACAGAGGCAGGCGACGAGGUUCAAGGCUGCUAGCACAGCCAGCACAACGGCAAGAACAAUACCCGGCACAUUGUAGUUUCUCCUCCCUGUAAAUUAUUGAAUAUGUAAGAAAACAUCACGGCAGUUAAGUGUCACAAACGUAGUUGUAACAGAAAACAGAACAUAUAAACAUAAUAAGUUUCUCCUAAGUGUUACAGAUCUUUUCAUCGCAAACCGAUGGUGGAAAUCGGAAUCGGCGAAAUGAUCCUUAGUGCGGGACAGAUGGUUAUGAAAGUGAUGUCCAAGAGUAGUUGAAAGAUGCAUAAUUUUCAUGUGAUUAAUCAAUCAACACUUACGCACGCGCGCACUAAACAAGAAUCCGUCACUAAAUAAUUUCGAUUCAGACAUUCAGUCUGUACGCGGUCCAUCAGCUUGGACCGUGUGAGAAGUUGCUAUGGCAGUCAAAAGACCGUGUUAGAAGUUGCUUUGACUCACCUUCACCGGCUGCUGGCGGCGUCUCCACGGCCGGUCCCGGCGCCGGCGCUCCAGCGCCCGGUGAUGGCAGCCGCACCAUCGCCGGACCACUGUAGAAGGGCGCGGUCUCGAACCGGUAGGUGCAGUUCACCCAAAGCACCCUGCCUCCGAUAGAGUUCAGGAACCUCGGCAAGCCGUCCGCUAUAAUCCCGGCGAGGCACUUCCGGCAGAGCGCCGGCGGCUGGUCCGGCGGGCACUGCGCCAGGCUGUACACCUUGGGGAAGUUCUUGUCGAAGAAGUCGGCCUGCCCGGUGGCGAACCGCCGCGUGGAGUUGAACGCGGCGUAGUCGGCGGUGGCGUUGAGGAGCGCCGCCAGGAGGGCGUUGAACCGGGGCUGGUCGGAGGUGACGUUGCCGUUGUUGGUGACGCCGUACGCGUCGGUGAUCGGGCCGGUGUCGUCGUCGCCGGCGAGGGUGUGCACGUCGGAGUAGUGGAGCGUGCAGGGGUCGUAGUAGAUGGUGGCGUCCUUGUUGUAGGGGCAGUCGUUCUGCACGUCGCGGAACGCCUGCGCGAGGCAGCUGCCGCAGGCCGUCGCGUUGGCGUCGCCGCGGCAGAGCGCCAUGGCCCAGACCUGCUCCGGCACGGCGCCGACGACAGCGGUGGCGUAGAGGUUCGGCGACGCUGAGGCGUUACCGGGCAGCAUGGCGGCGAGGCGGUUGAGGUUGGCCUGGUACGUGCUCUUGGCCGCGAAGGCGUUCGUCGUGCCGCACACCUGCCAUGGGUAGCCCGCGGCGAAGGGCGCAAACAGCGCGACGGCGGCGACGAUGGUGACCACGGCCACGAAGAGGUGGGGACCCAUGGCGCGCACACGGUGAGCAGAAGGGGGGAAGUCAGGAGCGAGUCAGCUUAUGUAGACGCUGAGGGUGUAUUUGUUACUGGGUCGACAUGGGUCGGAAUGGGUUCAACCCCAUCAUCCCAUGUUUGGUUGGAAAUGGAGUGGGUUGGGUCCGACCCCCUAGAUGCAAGUCGAACGCGUCCGCCCGAAACGAUCGAACGCCCUCGACCCGCACGGAUGCUGUGUGCGUCCAUCCGCGCGCGUGGGAAGGAGCCGGCCUGGCACGGGGGCGGCGAGGCGGUGGCGGGGAGGAGGCGGCCUGACGCGGGGGCGGCGGCCGGCAAAGGAGGCGGCCGGGAAGGAGGGAGCCGGAGCCGGGGUGGGGAGGACGGAGCGGGUGUCGCCGGCGGAGGGAGGGAGCGGGCAGAGGAUGAAGAAGAUGGCGUGGGAAAAAAAGGAUGACAUGUGGGCCCCGCAGCUGAUAGGUGGGAUCCGUUACUAAUGGUGUUAAAAUACCUUCCAUUCCAACCUUCUUCAAUCCCUCUAAUCAAACAAAAAACUGGGUCGAACCCAUCGCUCUCAUCCAAACACGAGAUGGGUUGACUCCAACCCACAAAAGGGGUUGGUUCCAACCCAACCCACAUCAUUCCAAAAUCAAACACAUGUUGAGUAAAUUAGUCUUCGCGAACGUCCCACACGGCAACUGGCAGUGCAAGUUGUAUGCUUUCUGUCUGGUUUUCUCCAUCUGGGCUAUGAGUACCAGGCUGGAUUUAAGGCAAGGGCAUUCCGUUUUAAUUUUAAAGCAGCUUAAGGUGGCCUUUUAUGCUUUAAUAACAACUCCUAUACAAAGUUGAAAAAGUGAAUGAGAUGUCGUUUCUCUAAACAGGUGAUCCUUACUUCUUAAUGUAAACUAAAAUUAAAGUGGCCCACAUCUUUGCACUGUUACUGUUUGUAUAAAAAAAUCUGACUAUAUGUAAUGUUGCAUUAUGUUAAUUAGUUGUCUCAUCAAUCUAUGUUUGCCUUAUCAUCUUUUUUUAUAUCAUUAUUAUGCCUUUUCAUGUAUCUCAUGUUUGUUUUCCAUCUACGUAUACCCAGGAGCUAUAGUCAAAUAUUUUGUAGAUUCAGCUCUGUACUGUAAUGGCACUGAUUGUGGGAAUUAUUCCGUAACGAUAAUGAUGGGUAAUUAGACUACCGAAGUGACGAGCUUGAUAUGAUCCAAAUUCGAGCUUCGUCGAUAACCCCGGGGGUACUGUUCAAACCUAGAAACUCUAGCUCUAGCUAGUACUGUACGACUACUGUGUUCACGUCAGGAUCAUUCUUAGACUCCAGGGCACCCGGCUUGAGCUCUUAUUUGGUUGGGUCAGCCGGUCAACCGUGGAAGGAAAGGAAGUCGCAGAAGGUGGCUUGGAGCUUCCUUCGCCGUGCGUCGUUCGUUUCUCGCCGUCAUCCCCACAGGAAAACAAUUGGCACCUAAUAAAUUGCGGCAACUUGGCGCACGAGGUUUGUCAAGACAUGGAGGAAAAAAAAAAGGGAUUUACUACGCUUCAAUCGACCAUGAUUUGCAUUCCUCUCAGUCGAUCCUUACGGAUGUCUAUUAAUCCCUUGUCACUGACUGACGAGCCCAGCUGACUCACUGACUGGGCAAAAAGUUAAAUAUACCGUGGGGGAUUGUUAGGAUUUGGAGGGGCUCCAUGGCCGCCGGACCUAGAAAAGGAUGUCGGGGGAGGCAGGCCGGCCCGGUGGUGGUGGCGGGAGAGACGGCGGAGGUGGAGGCGGUGGGGGCGCCACCUCCCGGGCGGCGGGAGACGGCGGUUGGGCCAGGCUUGGGCGGGGCAGCUCGUCGCCAACGAUUUAGCGCGGCGGGGGAAGCAGCUGCAGACCCGGCGACGGGGACGCGCCGGGGAUGGCCGGAGGAGGGCGGUAGGCCGGUGAGCGUUGCUGCUUCUGCAAGAGAGAGAGAGAGAGAAGGAUCGAGUCUGGAGGUCGAAGAUGGGUGAACAGUACCCAGCGCAUUCUGAAUCGUUGGAUUUGAAAUGGAGGCUACUGUUGAUCGACUGAGAGCACCUCUAUUUUCAAUCGCUUGAUAUAUAGGAAGCCCCAGAAAAAUAAACAGCCAACAGCAGAUGCAUCGUCUGGUCCUCGUGGAUAACGCGACACAACCGAGUACUAUAUUACUAUCGUUGUGGAAGAGAGUACUCCUAUGUAGCAUCAGGAGACCAACGACAUUGACUCGCCGAGGGUCGUCGUCUCAUCUUAAGAGUUGAGUGCUCACUGCCUUUGACACCCGACAUGCGUUCCCACUCAUAGCGCGACGAGACACGACUGCAAUAGCGUCGCAAAGACUAAGGAGGUGUUUGGGAACAGCUUAUUAAAGUUUAACAUCUGUCACAUCAGAUGUUUGGAUGCUAAUUAGGAGUACUAAAUAUAAACUAAUUACAAAACUAAUUGCACAGAUGGAGUAUAAUUCGCGAGACGAAUCUAUAAUUAGUCCAUGAUUUGACAAUGUGGUGCUACAGUAACCAUUUGCUAAUGAUGGAUUAAUUAGGCUUAAUAGAUUCGUCUUGCGAAUUAGCACAAGGUUCUGCAAUUAGUUUUAUAAUUAGCUCAUAUUUAAUCCUCUUAAUUAGCAUCCAAACAUCUGAUGUGACACUGUUAAAGUUUAGCACCUCGUAUCCAAACAGCCCCUAAUAGGCGACUCCGUCAUAGUGUGUGGAGCUAUUCAUCACUACCUGAAGUGAUUGCGUAUGUAGUUCAAGUAAUUCAACAAGUGAAAGUUGAUUUAAAUCGGAUCAAUUUGCACAUAAACGCAUCAUACAUGCACUUCCCAGUACUCUCACGCACUCAGUGGGACCUGCCAUUAAGCCCCUGACCCUAGUCUUGGCUAAAAAUAAUUAAGGCUGUCAUUUUAAGCACUGCAGUGCUGCAGCUGCUGUCCCUCCGGUCGACGAUCCGACGGACAGCAGCAGCAGCGCUUAAAAUGGCUGCCGGACAGGCCCUAGCACAUUAAAUAGCCUUAGUCUUUGGAUAAUGCUGAGCCGCCCCUGCUCGCACUUAUGCAUCUAGUACAUGCUUAUACCAUACUAGAUAUACUGCUGUGAGUUCCUAUAUUCAGAUAUUUUUGUUGAUACCCACUGCCCGUCCCAGCCACGAUGUCGGUAUGGCCCGGCCAACAGGCCGUGUCGUGCUGGCUCGCAAGCCACGCACUCGGCUAGGGCACGGUCCUGUGAGAGAUCGCAUCAUACCGUGUGAACCCACAACACAUUCAUCUUGAUGGGCCGAAGCGGCCCGUUAAGCAUGUAAGACAAUUUAUAUUGAAAAAAAUAAAAAAUAAUAAAAGUAUGCAAAAAAAUAAAGAACCAAUGAGAAAAAUACCAUUCUGCUCUUGAACGUGGCAAAUGAAAAGGCAAAGCUGUCAUGAUUGUCUUGUGAAUGAAUAAAAUAAUAUUUCAUAUAAUAACAUUCUAAACGUCAUUUCAAAAAAGCCGGUAAAAACUCCUCAAAAAUGCUUUUAGUUUUUAAUACCAAUACAACUUUUGCCUUUUCAUUAGCCACAUUCAAAAGCGGAAGGUUUAUUUUAGCUUUUGGCUUUGUCACAGCAAGGUCUACAAAAACUAAAACAAACAGUGCCUAGCUAAAAAGCUAAGUUUAAACGUAACAAAGUUCAAACUGACAAAUUAUGAAGGCUAUGUAAGAUGUGUCCAGUAACAUAUAAUUUAUGAUUAAUUAUUCUUUAAGUGGCAGGUGAUAUCUCUGUCGAAAGCGAGAUGUCUAUAGUGACUUCGUGAAUCUCAAUGAUUUGUCAGUCUAGUCUCAAGUAGAUCGUUUAUAAGGGUUGAUGCUCAUAGGCAUAUGUGAAUGGCUACGUCUGUGUUUCACAAAAAUAUGUAAGAUGUGUUCGGUUUGCCAAAAUGUUGGUUGCCUAAAACUAAGCCGGCAGUUUUGUUUCACCCAAGUUUUGUCUAUACUUUUCUAUGGAAAAAGAAAAAAAAUGGCUGGCUAAAGUUUUUUUUACGAAUUCCAAAAAAAGCUCGGACCAAAUGUUUUACUGAUGCCGCAGAAAAUUAAAGAGAGAGGACUUUGUUAUCAUUGUUAAGACACCAAUUGUAAAGAGUAUCAAAUGCAUGGACCCAUGUUGUUCCCCAUCGGGAUGGAUCUUCUGCUCUGAAGAGUAUCUUGACCCCCUAAGUGGGUUUUGGUGAAUUAAUGACACAAACUUAAGUGUCUAAUAAACUUUCAAGUGCAUGAGCAUGUUUCAAAUGAUUGGUGGACAUGUAGCACUUGUGGAUGACCAUAAAAAAGGAAAUGAAUGAAUAUGAGGUAUACCUUGAAGGCUAAAUUUAUUUUUCAUUUGAAUUUAAGUAUAAGAAUGUCGCACUAAAUGCAUGAACCCAUGUUGUUCCCCAUCGAGAUGGAUCUUCUGCUCUGAAGAGUAUCUUGACCCCCUAAGUGGGUUUUGGUGAAUUAAUAACACAAACUUAAGUGUCUAAUAAACUUUCAAGUGCAUGAGCAUGUUUCAAAUGAUUGGUGGACAUGUAGCACUUGUGGAUGACCAUAAAAAAGGAAAUGAAUGAAUAUGAGGUAUACCUUGAAGGCUAAAUUUAUUUUUCAUUUGAAUUUAAGUAUAGGAAUGUCGCACUAUUAAAAGGGAUGCGUAACCUUUGGUCUUUACAUUGAAUAAGGUGCUCAAAUUGAUUUAACCAACCUAUGAGAGACACCUUGCACCUGCACGUCACUUGAGAAUUUCUUUAAUAGGUGAUGACUUAAGAGUUCCGGAGUUUUCUGGAAGUUUUUUCGAAAUGUCCGGAAGUUCUGGACAAAGUUCCGUAGAUUCUGGACAUAACAUUCCAACGGCUACUUUCUGAAUGAAGGGGUAUAAAUACCUUCUCAUCCCCUCCUACAGUUACUCUCUCGACCUAACUUCGUGCUGAGCUUUAGAAAAACAUUCAAGUCUCUCUCUUUUCCCCUUUAGCAUUCUUGGUGAGAUUUGGUGGGGAUUUAAGGAGGGAUUCAAGGGGAGGGCAAGAGAGAGUGCUAGUGAGCUGAUUUUCCAUCUCUUGAGCAUCUUGUUCUUCGUCAAGCCGGUGAUUUCGUGUUUGUUACUCUUCGAGCUUUAAACUCCUAGCCAGCUAGCUGUUGCUCGUGGAGUAUCCAAGGUUGUGGCUGCCUACGGAAAGUUUGUAUUACCCCGACGAUUGAGUAAGUGACUCUAGCUCGAUCUUUGUGGUCGCUAGAGUGAGGAAAGUGGCUUAGGUGUGAAAAGCCCACCCUUUGUGGGUUCCUCAACGGAGACGUAGGUUUCAAGUGUGAAGCUGAACUCUGAUAAAUAAAUCCUUGUGUCUCUUGUGCUUGUUGUUCUUCAUUUCGUUCAUAUUCAAGAAUAGAAUAUAUUUAUAGGGUUUGUGCUUGAUCUACUUUUCUAAAAGCUUGCUUGCUAUUCUAUCUUGUCCUGAGGCUUAGAAAACCCUGUUGCUCUACCUAUAUUUGGCGAUUUACAUUUAGAUAAGCAUUUCAUAGGGUUGUAGUACUUUCUCGUCAAUCUCUGGAGAAUUCGCAGAUUUCUCCGGAAAUUCUGCAAGUUGCGGAAUUUUUGAAAAAAUCUCUGGAAACUCCAGAAGUUCCUGAUAAACUUAUUCAAAGUUGUUGAGAAUUUUCAGAUUCGACUAUUCACCUCUCCUUUAGUCGACAUUCUAGAUCCUUUCAAUUAGUAUCAGAGCUUUGAUCUUCAGAUAAAAACUUAACCGCUUGGAGUUUCAAGAUGUUGACUCCGGGAAAUCAACAAGUUCCCACCGGAGGUGAUGUGACCGAUCCUAAUGCGGUCCAACAGCUCGUGUUGCCUCAAGGUGGAGCUACCGGUGGAGGAAGCACAAGUGCCGGGGGAGAUCAAGUGGAUAUUGAAGACUCCUCUGAUGAUGACUCCGACUAUGAUGAUGCAAGAUCAACCCGCUCCAAGCGCCACGCUUCACGAAGGGAGUUUCACCAAAUCUCUUUCAAUUAUGCUCGUUUGAAUCUCAAUACCUUAAACGGGUUAAUCAACUUGGGAAAGCCUUCUCACUUUGAUGGGGUGAGCUUUUCAAGGUGGAAGGACUCGAUGAUGGGGUAUUUGAUAGGGGUCAACCCCGCUCUUUGGAAGAUUGUUGAUGUAGGUGUCAAUUUCCCAAGAGGAAAUGAAGAUACUCCCAUCACACAAGAUUAAGAGUUUGAGAUUCAACGAAACUUUCAAGCUUUGCAGGUCAUCAAGAGUUCACUACGUGCUGAAGAAUUUGACAAGAUUGAUAUAUUGGAAUCCGUCAAAGAUGUAUGGGACACUCUCUUCAUUAAUCAUCAAGGAACAAGGAAAGUUAGGGAAGGAAGGAUAAGAGCAUUAGAGAGUGAGUUCAACUGCUUCAUCAUUAGAGAGAAUGAGACACCACAUGAGAUGUACAAUAGAUUGAACAAGAUACUCAACAAAAUAACAUAUCUUGGUAGUGACAAUUGGGGAAGGAGAGAAGUGGUUGACCAGAUUCUAUCGGCCUACAUGGCAAGAGAUGUACAACUCCCUAUCUUGCUAAGAGAGAAGAAAGGGUUCAAGAAGUUCACCCUGGCGGAUGUGAUUGGAAGAAUUAAGGAACAUCUCAUUACCGUCAAGGAAUCUAAGCUAUCUCAAGAGAUGUCCAAGAUUCAUAAGCAAUUGAAAAAGAACAAUGGAGUAGCUCUCAAGGCAAGCAACAAGAACAAAGAGAAGAAAGCAAGUUCAUCCAAGGUAACCACCAAGGAUGAUAGUGAUGAUAGUAGUGAUGGUGAAAGCAUGAAUGAAGAAGAAAUGACUCUAUUUAUGAGGAAGUUCAAGAAAGUGAUGAAGAAGAGUGGUUCCUUUCACAAGAACAAGGAUAAGAGCAAGACAAAGAUAAAGUCAAAGAGGCCAUGCUUCAGAUGUGGCAAGGAAAGUCAUUUCACUACGGAUUGUCUGGAAGUUAAACACAAGAAGGAAGGAUUCUCCAAGUUUGACAAGAGCAAGUACAAAAAGAAAAAUAUUGGUGAAGCUCACUUGGGUCAAGAAUGGGAUUGUAAUGAAGAAAACUCAAACUUCGAUGAAGAAGUAGGAUUGGACAAAAUAGCUAUUAGAGUAGCAACCUCCAAGUCAUCUCUAUUUGAAGAUCUCACCGAUGAUGAAAAUGCCUUCACCCACACUUGUCUUAUGGAUAGAGGCCCUAAGGCUUACUCUGCCGGUGGAACUAAAUGAGUGCUUGAUAGUGGAUGCACAAAUCAUAUGACCGGCGAGAAGGAGAUGUUCUCCUCUUGUGAAAUGAAGAAAAAUCCAAAAUAAAAAAAUUUAUUUGGUGAUAAUAGUGAAAUAACCGUGGUUGGUCCAGGUAAAACUGCUAUCUCAACCGAUCAUUCAAUUUCUAAUGUUUAUUUUCUUGAAUCUUUGGACUAAAAUUUAUUGUCCGAAAGUUCCAAUAUUUUCGGAGAAAGUUCCGGAGAUUCCGGAACAUAACAUUCCAAUGGCUAGUUUUUGAGUGAAGGGGUAUAAAUACCCCCUCACGCCCUCACAUAGUUACUCUCUCAACCUAAGUUCGUGCUGAGCUUCAUAAAAGCAUUCAAGUCCCCCUCUUUACUCCCCUUUGGCAUGCUUGGUGAGAUUUGGUGGGAAUUUAAGAAGGGAUUCAAGUGAAGGGCAAGAGAGAGUGCUAGUGAGCUGAUUUCCCAUCUCUUGAUCACCUUGUUCUUCGUCAAGCCGAUGAUUUCGUGUUUGUUACUCUUGGAGCUUCAAGCUCCUAGCCGGCUAGGUGUUGCCCGUGGAGUAUCCAAGGUUUUGGCUGCCUACGGAAGUUUGUAUUACCCCGACGAUUGAGUAUGUGACUCUAGCUCGAUCUUUGUGGUCGAUAGAGUGAGGAAAAUGGCUUAGGUGUAAAGAGUCCACCCUUUGUAGGUUCCUAACGGAGAUGUAGGCUUCAAGUGUGGAGUUGAACUCCGAUAAACAAAUCCUUGUGUCUCUUAUACUUGUUGUUCUUCAUUUCAUUCAUAUUCAAGAAUAGAACAUAUUUCUAGAGUUUGUGCUCGAUCUACUUUUCUAGAAUGUUGCUUGAUAUUCUACCUUGUCCCUUUGGCUUAGAAAACCCUGUUGAUCUACUUAUAUUUGGUGAUUUACAUUUAGGUAAGUAUUUCAUAGGGUUAUAGUACUUUUCUGUGGAAAUUCUGCAAGUUGGAGAAUUUCUGGAACAAUCUUUGGAAACUCCGGAAGUUCCUGAUAAACUUGUUGGAAAUUGUUGAACAGGUUCGACUAUUCACCCCCCCUGUUUAGUCGACAUCCUAGAUCCUUUCAUGCUCGCACACAGAUCGUGAAUGGGUGCUAAAUUGGGGCUCCUGCGUCUCGUGCCACUUUAGAGAGCUUGAAAAAAAUAAGAGCCGUCCAUCGGCAAAAUCAAACGGUGGAAACAAAUGAAGUAUCAUAAAGUACCAAAAGAUACCAAUUUUGUGGGACCAAGCACCAAAAAUAGUGAGAAAUUACUGUAAUACCCUUUUAAUUAUGUGUAAAUCUAUUUAAUUCUUUUUUUGUAAGAAGGAUAAGAAAGAAAAGUACCUUCACGUACCACCGAUACUUUAAAAGCAUUGUAACAAAGCUCUUAUAAUAUAUACUCAGUCGAGCUGCCCGCUGAGCCUGCCCUCAGUGUUACUACUUACGGCGUGCUUGCGUAGUGCUCACAUCAAACGUGUCGCUCCUUCCACGCUUGCCAUGCUCUGGCAUCAGCCAUGUCGCAAUAGAGAGUGUGGGGACUUUGGGUCGUACCAUGCUUCGUGCUGGGUCCCCUGCCGAGAAGAUUUAGCCCAUGACAGCCCAUCGGGUCAGGCCCAAGCACGGUAUGUGGCAUGUUGUGCCUACAGUUACGUUGUGCCGGCUCAAGCAUGACCCUCGAUGUAAUCUUUUAUUAUACCACAUAAUAUAAUAUAUUUAUUAGAUGAGUCUCUUUUAUACUGAUAUUUAUAGAAUAUGGAGUUAUUAUUCUUGUAUUUAGAUCUUUUUUAGAGCUUGAUUAGUCAUCGGGUUGUCUCAUGUCAGCUUAGGCAUGGCCCAUCUUUCGUGUCAUGCUGUGCUAUGGGCUAGAGAUCCGGGCACAGUUACGCCACGGAGCAUCAUACCGCGCGGACACAGAUCGGAGCUCUUUGUGUGCCGUGUCGUGCCCUGGGCUGCCCAAAUUUGGCAUGGCCCAAGUCCCAGCUCUGAGACAUUGGGAAUGGAGAAGAAAGAGAUAAUAUGUGGAGGAUAAAUAAAUUGAAACAUCUAUUAUAGUGGGCUCCACAUUUGGCAGCACACCGAGUAGUGGUAUCUGUUGUACCGGAGUCCUGCCAUUAUUGAAUUGACGAAAUUAGGACAAUGAUUGAGUGCAAAUCAAACUAAAUAUUUUGUCCUAACAUUAUCAACUUGCAGAAUGGAGGUGGUAUGCAGCGUCAACAUGGCAUGGCACGUAAGGACAAUGAUGAUUUAGCGCGGGCCUGUUUGGAUACAGGAUCAGUACCUGUCACAUCGGAUGUUUGAUACUAAUUAGGAGUAUUAAAUAUAGUCUAAUUAUAAAAUUAAUUAUACAGAUGGAGUCUAAUUCGCGAGACGAAUCUAUUAAGUCUAAUUAGUCCAUGAUUUGAUAAUGUAGUGCUACAGUAACCAUUUGCUAAUGAUGGAUUAAUUAGGCUUAAUAGAUUCGUCUCGCGAAUUAGUAUAGGGGUUCUGCAGUUAGUUUUAUAAUUAGCUCAUAUUUAGUCCUUCUAAUUAGCGUCCGAACCUCCGAUGUGACCCCUCCUAAAGUUUAGUAUCCCGCAUCCAAACACCCUCUCAAACUAAAUAUCUUGUCCCAACACUACCGACUUGAGAGUGGAGGUGGUAUGUAGCAUCAUACCUGGCAUGGCAUGUUUGGAUAUAGCAUAUUCUAUCGUGCAUUGAGACUAGUCUCAGGGAAUUGUGUUCAUGAGUAUGCUACUAGAGAUAUAACGUCAAAUAGUAAUUCCGGCGACUAGUUGGAGACAUGGUGUGGAUCAUAUCUGUCAUCUGUGCGUGAAUUACACGUUUCCACAAUGAUCUGUGGGUAAUUUAAAGUAUAUCUUGUAAUUUGAAACAUAUGUAUUCUGACUCGUCUCCACAACUACUCAAGAUCAACACUGAAAAUAAAGAAGCGAAGGCAGGCACGCGUCAAGCAGCAUUUAAAUUAUUUCGCUUAACGAGACCCGUUAUCUAACCUGAUGUGUGCAAGUACUAUGUACACAAGAGAAGAAUCCAACGAUACAGCAGCAUUGGAGUUAUCAUUAUCGUGAGUCAGUCAAUUGGCUUACGUGUGCAAUUAUUAAAGCAAGCAACUGGAUAUUCGUGGCUGGUUUAUUCAGAGUUCAGACUGCAGCGGUACGGCCGCUCUGGUAUACAAUGUACGUACCAUAGCAGUGAUGCCACUUGCACACGAGAAAAAAAAAUGGCAAAUUGGUGAGUCCUGGGUACGGACGAACCUGCACCGAAGCCGCCGGCGCGGGACCCAUCGCGAUGGGGGCGGUUGCACGCUGAUGUUGUUGCCGGCUUUUAAGCCCUUGCUUGCUCCACCACACCGCAGGAGAGCAUGGCGCUCACCCGCAUCCUCGUCUUCGUCCUUGGCGCCGCAUUGCCAUUCCUCCUCUUCCAUGCCGGUAAACAUCACAAAAACUGUUGUUUUGGCAAUUAAUUAUGCGCAUCUGAAUGUGCAGUUUAGAGCUAACUUUUAUAUCGUUCCUGUGUAAACUUUGUAGAAGCGGGCCAGAUGGGGGUGAGCUACGGCAGGGUGGCGAACGACCUGCCGGACCCGGCGAAGGUGACGCAGCUGCUCAAGGACAACGGCAUCACCAUGGUCAGGAUAUACGACGCCAAACAGGAGGUGCUGAGGUCGCUGGCCAACACCGGGAUAAAGGUGAUGGUGAUGGUGCCAAACGAGAACAUCGCGGAGGCGGCCAGGAACCCCUCGUACGCGCUCCAGUGGGUGCGGGACAGGGUGAAGGCCUACUACCCCGCCACGCAGAUCCACGGCGUCGCCGUGGGCAACGAGGUGUUCGACUCGAGGCCGGACCUGACGAGGCAGCUCGUCCCGGCCAUGACCAACGUCCAGGCGGCGUUGGCGCAGCUGGGCCUCGCCGACGCCGUGAAGGUGUCCACGCCGAUCGCGUUCACCGCGGUCGAGAACACGUUCCCGCCGUCCCGGGGCAGGUUCAAGGACGAAAUCGCGGAGCCGGUGAUGAAGCCCAUGCUCCAGUUCCUGAAGAGAACCGGCUCCUACCUCACCAUGAACAUGUACCCGUUCUGGGCGUACUACAACCAACCACAAGACAUCAACCUGGACUACGCCCUGGGCAACUCCAAUCCCGGCGUCCCCGACGACGACACCAGCCUCAAGUACUACAACCUCCUCGACGCCGAGCGCGACGCCGCGCACUCCGCGAUGGACCAUUUGGUCCCCGGCGUGAGCUUAUAUCUCACGGAGACCAAUUGGCCGCCGCGCGGAAGACCCCAUCAGGGCGGCGGACACCGCGGCGGGAGGCGUUUGGAGGACGACGGGGACGGGGUGUUCACGAUAGCCAACGCGCAAGCGUACGUCAAUAACCUCAUCAACCGCGUGCUGGCCGGCAACACGGGCACCCCUCUCCGCCCCGACGCGGCAUUGGACGUGUACAUCUUCGCCCUCUUCAACGAGAACCAAAAGGGCGACGGGCCGGACGACAUCGAGCAGAACUUUGGGCUGUUCUACCCCAACAUGCAGAAGGUGUACGAGUUCGACUUCCACGGCGGUGUUGCGCCACCCGCACCACCGGCGGCAAGCUGGUGCGUGGCGAACGCGGCGGUCGGGGAUGAUCGGCUGCAGGCGGCGCUGGACUACGCGUGCGGCCACGGCGCCGAUUGCAGCGGCAUCCAGCCGGGCGCGGUGUGCUUCGAGCCCAGUACCCUGCUGGCGCAUGCCUCCUAUGCGGUCAACAGUUACUACCAGAACAAGGGUCGGGCCAGCGGAACGUGCGACUUCGCCGGCGCUGCUCACGUCGUGUUGGAGGAACCAGCUGGUGAGUCCUUCACGUCUACUCCUCUUACAGUUUUUUCCUCAAAAAAAGCUACCCGGUCCCAUUGCCAGUACGACAGCUGCAAACGUAUGGACCAGCCAAUCUCACUGGGCGUUUGGUGUUUGUUCUAUCUUCCGUGAAUAGAAAUCUGUGACCCGAAUGCGAGCUGGUGUGUGGCGAAUGCGGCGGUCGGAGACGGUAGGCUUCAGGCGGCGCUGGAUUACGCCUGCGGUCACGGGGCCGACUGCGGCGCCAUCCAGCCCGGUGGGAAAUGCUUCGAGCCCAACACCAGGGUCGCGCACGCUUCGUACGCGUUCAACAGCUACUACCAGCGCAACCACAGGGCCAGUGGGUCGUGUGACUUCGCCGGAGCCGCUUCCGUUGUCUACAUGGCACCAAGUGAGUUAUUUCGAUCUUUCGUCACAUGUCUGUCACGAGCAUUCGAAAGGAAACGGUAAUCUCACUGCUGUUUAUUCACUUUUUACUGCAGAGAUAGGAAACUGCGUCCUUCCAUGGAGGGCUUGGAUUGGGGAGACGACAUCAAUGUCGGAAGGCAGCUUUGCUGCCAUAUAAUCUUAUAUACGUAGCAGAUAGUAUUUUCUUUAUGGUCUAUAAAUAACAGAUAUCGGCGUAGAUCUGUGUGAUCCUCUAAUUUUUUCCGAACAACUUCCCAAGGAUCCCCACCUACUUGAUCAAAAGUAAGACCGCACGGUACAAGUGUGAUCCCUGGGCAUACUAGGGAGAGAUUACACGAGUUCUCAGCCAUGUGGUGAGACGCAUAGAGAAGUUACAGAAGAGAAAUAUGAAAUAUCUCCAAGUCGAUCCAUAGAGCGGUGCAAGUUCAACGCAACAGAAAGUGCCUGAUGAAGCCGAAGUGCAUUCUACCAAUCAUCCAUCGGAGCCACUACUGAGCAACUUGUUUGCCAGGUUCAUCGGAGCCAAAGUACCACCAUAACACCCCUCGCAGCUACGUCGCCGUACGGCCACCCUCCAAUGAUUUGGGAGGGUUUGCUAAUAGAACGGGGGCUAAGGGUGGGGGAAACAACUUGACAAAAAUGUCGCCGGAAACGACAACCUCCCUUCAAGCUGAAGGCAACACUAAUUGAGGCACAUCCAGGUGCCGCAUACCGCCAUCCAACGCUCUUUGAGGGGAGGAAGCCUCAAAGGAGGGAGGGCCGGCAAAGGCGACACCUAGCAUUUUAUUUGGUAUCUCCAUCAACAAGGAGAGCACCGACGAAGUAGAGGCGCCAGCAGUGGACACUUGCGGACCACAAUAGAAUCCAAAGGAGCACCAACAACCUUCUAGUUCUACUACAAACACGGAGGCGGGGGCGGUGGUCGCCGGCGGCGGCGAUGGCACAGAGGAGAGGAGGCCAUUCGAUGACGUCUCCAAGAAGGUAGACGACGUCCGAGAGCGUCGUCAUCAUCAGCCUGUGUAGGUCGGCAAAGGUUUUCGCCUAGGCCCCAAUCCUCCGAGCACGCCGAUUCUGACCAUGGAGAGUGCCGGAAAGGAGGUGGUUCUCUAGUGCGGCACGCGGACCACCAUCGGAGUGGAGGUGGAGGGGAGGGGGGAGUCGCAUGCAAGCAUUGGCUUUGGUGUUGCCGAUGGUCGCGAGUCAACACGGCCCACACCGCCAGGACUCCACGCAGUGUCGUCUAGGCCAGUCCACGAGCGUGAACCCGCCUCAAACGCCGCGAGCCCCUCCCCCCUCCACCCCCCGCCUCAAAGGUUAGGGGGACGCCGGAUCCAGGCGUGCGCGUGCCUGGAUCCGGGCCUGGCCCUUGCGUCGAUCUGCGCAGAAACACUUCAGGGGCAGACAGAGGGCAGCAGACCUGUAGGGUCGAGAUGCCGCCGGCGACUCCGGUAUCGGCGACCUGCUCCUCAACCGGCGCAGCAGGCCUGCUUGGAGCCACCCCGGCCACCUCGGAGCAAGAGCUAGACAGGGAUCCAAGCUCCGGCCUUGAGUUCCCCCAUUGGAGACAGCGAGAAGAAGACUUGGCCCCGACCUCCCCCACCGAAGGGACCAGAUCAGGGCCGGAUCCGGCGAAGGGAAGUCGAGCUAGAGCCUCUAGAGCUGCUGAGCAGAACAUACUUCGCCGGAAAUCAUGUCCGCUCAAGUUUGAAGUUGAAGAGAAAGAGUGAAGAGGAAGUGGAAAGGGAAGGCUGUGGAUGGUCGCCGGCUUCGGCGCCACCAUAGCCGCCGCCACCGUGCGCCGUCCGGUAGAGGCAGCGGCGGCCGGCAAGAGCUGCUGGAGGGGUUUCUUUGCUGGUGGUGGAGUCACCCCUCCCGUCGCCUGAGAGCGACACGGAAGGGUACACGGGGUCCGCUUAGUCCACUCCCAAGAGCGUGAUCCUCUAUUUUCAAAAGAAGUCCAGUUUUUUUUAAUAAAUUGUGCAGUUAGCAGAUAAUAGAAAUCCGGACCUACCUUUACAAAAUUUAAUACAGGUCCUACAAAAUGUUAACAUGUAACUUCAAUGAUGGGGAUUGCGAGUUUACGGUCGCCCGCUCCGAGGCUCGCGAACGGUCGAUCUCCGACCAGAUGUUUUUAUUCCGUUUCUAGCUUUUGGCUUCCGCGCCCAUUCCCUUUUUGGAUUCCGCGCACCAGGCUGGUCCCGCAUCGUUUUCCCCGAUAAACCAACGCCCCUGCGCCACCGAGGGCCAUAUUUUAGCUUUUGGCGCCCAUUUUCCCGCACACCAUUCUCUUUGUCUUUUUGCGUGCUAACAUUCAUUCGGGAUCGUGGAAAAAUGAGAGGGGAGAGUCAAGAUAAAAGCUAGUUUCAAUAGUUUAGAAAAAUAAUACAUUUGCUUAUAAUGAAAAAUACAUUAAAAAAUUAUACACUUUUGUCCUUGACAUAAAAUGAAAAGAAAUUAGAUCUUCUAAAAGGACGAAGAACACGAAUCCAUUUUUGAGUCUUGCCUUUUUAUGCUUGCCCUGAGAAAAAAAACGAAAAACCAAACACAAAGGGAUUAGCUAUCAUUUUUUGCAAACCGUUCAUGUCAAGGCGUCCUAUAGGUCUCAAAUAAAAGGUAACACAGUAGCUCGCAAAAAUAAAAAGUGCUUAAUAGACACAAAAUGUCUCAUUAUGUAUGUGUAGAAACGAAUUCAACUGCCACGAAUGUAAUUAUUUCAGAUUACAUGUAAACCAGAAACUAAACUACUUGAAUCUAGAGACCAAAUCAGCCUAAGGUGUGAACCAAAAUCAAUAUCGUCUAGAAGCAGGAACAAACUAGGUUUAACAAUUUUGCCAAAGAUUGGACUUUAUUAGAAGCUGCAUGGAAACAAGAUGGGUCAGAUUGAGCUGGAAUCCACAUAACACAAUAACAGGACAUCAUAUUUCCUCUUGAACCUUAUGUGCUCUUCAACAGCAGACUUAGAAUUCAAAAUGCACUCACAUUAUUAGAUUCACCCAUCGGAGUUCUGUGUUCGGAGUGCCCCAAAAAUGACCCACGGCACCUGCAGGUUCAUCAGCAUCUCAAUUCUCAACACUGCAACAAGAAAAAUGACACAUAUUAGCCAAUUGGAAGCAAUGCUCCAGCCUCCAGUUACUAUUCAUUUGGGGAGUUGGGUUAACGAAAUGGGUGAUUCUGGACCAACACACUAUCAUGAUGGCAUUGCGAACCUUAAUGAUAACCACAAAGAGUGCUAUUUGCCUUAAUAGCAACAUUGUAUACUACUCAACAUUCACUAGUAGAGAAUUGGCUUUCCAUACGCCCCCUUUUGUCCCGGUUUAAAGUUGGCCCGGGACAAAAGGUUCACCAACAGGGACUAAAACUCGGUCACUGGUGGGAGGCUCACCAACCGGGACCUUUUAUCCCGGUUGCAAAGGUUAGUGGGAAAAAAAGACUCUGAGAGGCAUUUUAUCCCCGGUGGAAACACCAACCGGGAUAAAAGGGGGUCUUUUAUCCCGGUUGGUGUUUCCAACCGGGAUAAAAGGGUCCCCACGAGUUAAUACAAAAGGAUAGUAUCCCCCUACAUAGUCAGAUGUGGUGUGUAGGUGGGAUGGCAAGGAAGCUACACGCGAGGCUGGAGGUUGUGGGUUCGAAUCCCAUGAACCGCGCACGCGCAUAUUUCGCGUGAAAAAUCGCGUGACUUGUGAUUUGCGCGUGUGGGGGGCCUCCUGGGAGCUCGGGAAUUUUUUUUUGCAGCACCGGCCGUGGGUGACCCCUUUUAUCCCGGUUGGUAUUACCAACCGGGAUAAAAGGGGGUCUUUUGUCCUGGUUGAGUGACCCGGGAUAAAAGAUCCCCCCUUUUGUCCCGGUUGGUUUAUCCCGGAUGCAUUUUCGGGAUCUUUGCACCCUACCAACCGGGACUAAAGCCCAAUUCUCUACUAGUGAUUGCUGCCAUAAUCAAGCCAUAUCUACAGAAGCUGAAACCAAACGAACCUCUAUACUCUGUAAUCUAUAACUCCACACUAACCUAGAUGCUUUUGACCCAAUCUGAUAGAGCAGGCAAGUAUUCCUUUCAACCACAACGCUGAACCAUGAUUUGCGAGCCUGUAAUUGUUAGGCUGGAAGCUUGCAACAGCAUGGAACCCAUAUUGUAAUAUUAGUCACACGGCGGUGAAUGCAAUUAUGAUUAAUGAAUAACUCAGUGAUGUGUAUUAUUUUCUAGAGAGUUUUCUACCACAAGUUAUCUCAGAAAAAAGCUUGUCAGAGUAACUUUUCUUAUAACAUUUCUAAAGUUAUUUUCCUAAAAAAAUUCUAGAAAAUUUCAACAAUUUUUUUCUGGAUAUCUUCGUAGCAAACUUUUCUACAUAUAUUUUUCUACAUUACUUUUCAACAAAAGUUAUCUAGACAAUCUUUUGUGUUAAUAUACAAAAGGUUUAUAAUAAUUUAUCUAACACAAAUUUUAACUAAAAGAUCUUUUCAAAUGUUAGCAUUGCUAGAAUUUUUGACAUAAUACUUUCAAAAGAAGAUAUUUGCUACAGAGCUCAAAUUUCUUUUAGAGAACUUGUACCAGAAAAUUUAUCAAAGUAAAACAAAACGUUCUCUAGAAAAAUUAGGUAUGAGAAAGUUUGCUAGAAAAAUUUUCUUACACAACUUAUAUAGAAAAUUUAUCUAGUUACACUUUAUUAUUAAAUUUAGAUGUUAAAAAAAUACUAUACAAAGAAUUGAUAAGGAACAAAUCUAUCUAAAAAGUUUAUAUGAACAAAAUUUAGGUAACACAGAAAUUUAAGAACAAAAAAAUAUGAAAAAAAUUUAUAUGAGAAAAAGUAUAUAAAAUAGAAAAUAUUGCAUAAAAAUAUUUAUACAAAAAAAUUUCUAAGCAAUUUUCAUAUAAAGUUUUUGUUUAAAUAACUAUUGAAGCAUAAAAACUUUGUAACAAAAUUUUGAAGAAAAGGUUUCUAAAAAUUUUGUGUAACACAAUUUCAAAGAAAAACUUUGCACAAACAAUUUUGUAUCCAAAUUUUGAAGAAAAACUAUGUUAAAUUUUGGUUAAAGAAAUCAUACAUAAACCUUAUCAAGUAAAAUUUUCUCAGAUUAACUUAUAUAUCUUUAAAAGUUUAGUAGAAAACUUUGCUUACAUAAGUUAUAUAGUAAACUUUGGUAGAAAAGUCUACAAUUUAAAAAUAUUUUACGAAAAUCUUUACUCAGAAAACUUUCCUAACAACAUGUUAAAGAGAUUUUUUUAGAAUAAAUUCUUCACAGAACCUUUUGACAGCAUUAUUUAUAAAAAAAUUUGCUAGAGAAUUUUGAAUAGAAAACUUAUACAGAGAGCUAAAAACUUAUACAGAAAAUUUAUCAAGUAAAGCUUUCUAAGAAAAAUUAGGUAUGACAAUAUUUUUUAAGAAAACUUCAGUUAUAUAACUUAUUGUUGGGGGAAAUAUUAACGAUCCCUUAAUGCCCAUUAAAACAACGAUCAUGAAGGCCUAGGCCCACCUACGGUAAUGAAGACUGCCGUCGACCCAACAUAGGAGGGGAGAGCCCCGCUCCGCCUCGCCCGACCCAGUGUCCCGGGGUCGGACGUUCCUGACCCCUCGAUGACCAAAACUCCGCCUCGCCCGACCCACGGUCCCAGGGUCGGGAGCGCCCGACUCCUCGCUACAAGACUCCGUCUCGCCCGACCCAGGGCGCAGGGGGUCGGAAUCAUCCGGGCCCACAAGACAAAUAUCCUCGUCGGGCGCAGACUGGAAGAGAGCGCAAAUCUCGUGGGCCCCUCUGUCGAGCUCGCCAUAAAUGCACCGCGGCUCUAGCACGCAGAAAGGCGCCCGCGCCCCCGACGCGACCCACCACAAGUACCCAUGCACGACCGCACAGCACAGGCUACAAUGGCUGCGGCUCUCUCCGAUUCGCUACAGGGCACUCAUGGCAUGCGCCGCCCGGCACAGGAGUGAGCCCCGCCCGUUCUCGCACCCUGCGCAUCCGGCGACAGGGACGCGACGCCCGCGUCCCACGGGCCAUCAGCAAGAUAACAGGAUCUGCCGCCUUCCCCGACGGGCACAGAUGCCGCGACCGAACGCCAUCAUCAUGCCUGGCGGCAACGGUCACCAGGGAGAUCGCCGACAGGAUCCGAAGGCAGCCGCCCUCUCCCGGUGGACGCGCUGACAGGAGCCGAAUGCCGGAGCGGGGGGUGGCGAUCCGGGGACUUGGUCCUUCCCCUCGUAUUGUUUUUUACUUGAAUUAGCUUAUCUCUUUUACUUCUCCAAAGGCCUGCCUCACUUGUAACCCCGGCGGCCUCCUUGCGCUAUAAAAGGAGAACUGGGGGCCCUGAGACGGGGGGACGGGCAAGCCAACAGAACCCUCACACUCUCCUUUAGAGCAUCAGUGCACACCCAAGAGACUUGGGACCAGCUCCCUCUCUCGCCUUCCUGUAACCCCUACUACAGACCCCGCGUGGGCAACGCGAGCAGCUCCCGAUACUGGACGUAGGGCUCUUCCUUGCCCGAACCAGUCUAAAACCCGUGUCUCCCAUGCCACCAUCCGAAGCCUUACGCGCAAUAAAAUAAUUUACUAGUCUUAGUCUUGAUCCGCUAAUCUUGACAACGACAGUUGGCGCGCCAGGUAGGGGACCUUUGCGCGUACAUCACCGGCUUCAGAUGGCCAACCACGACGCCAGCUUUGCUCCGGGCUCCCUGGUCCACUUUGGGAGUCUGGACUUCCUCACCACCGAGGAGGGGAUCGAGUUGAUCCCUAUCCUCGUCUUGCCCGCUCACCCCAUCAUCUCUGGCUCCGCCGCCGGGACAGCGGCGAGCGGCCAGGCGCGCGCUGAGGGGCCUCCUUCAGAGAGGCGGUUCUUCGGGCUGCGCAAUGCCGCGGCGACCUACAGUCGUCUCCUAGCGGUGUCCAUGACCGUGCCGCCUGCGAGCAAUGAGCUUGUGGGAGUGGUGAGGACGACUUCCGAUGCCGGCUCCAACAACGGGAGCCACCACCCCUCGCGCAAGUGCUUCAUGGCCGACGUGCACUCCGAGGGGUCCAAUGACGAUGGCGCCGAAGGGAGGUAGAGGACUCCCCCACCACGCACCGCGGCUACGACUGGGGCCCUCGCCAGGGCCCGAUGCGACCCCGACAGCCGGAGGUGCGCGCGCCCCCGCAACGAAGGCAAGGCAUGACAACGGGCGCGCGACGUCCAGCAGCGCAUCUACGUGGACGAAGGUCGCCCUCAGCUCUUCGCUCACGCUAGCCAGAACAUCGCCGCAGCGGCGGUCCUACUCCGACGACUCCCCGAGCCGGCAACGCCCGAGGAGCGUCAAACGCACCAAGAGGUGCGCAAUCUGCUCGAGUGCGCCGCCGUCGAGCAGGCGGAGAGCUACACGUCCCGACGACGCGGGCAAAACGCCAGUAGGGCAGCGCCCACCGGACCCCCCGAGGGGCGGGGGGAGUCUAUCCACCAGCCUCCUCCUAGGGCGAACCAGGCCGCGCCCGCUCGACGGACACCGCCGCCCGCAGGAGGCGGGGCUCAGUCCAUUCACCAGCGCGUCGGUCCCGUCCGCAACGCCCGCGACACCCUGGACGCGCGGAGGCUCUCCCGCGCGAACAGGGAAGAGGGGGUGGACCGUGGCUACCAUGUCCACCGUGGCGGCCGCUACGACAGCGAGGAAGAACGCAGCCCGAGCCCCGACCCGGCGGGGCCCCAGGCCUUCUCCACGCGUAUCCUGAACGCGCCGUUCCCGCCGCGCUUCAGGCAGCCAACGAAUGUGGCCAAGUACUCCGGGGAGACGAACCCCGGGCUAUGGCUCAGCGACUACCGGCUUACAUGUUAGGCUGGUGGGGCGGACGAUGACCUGUUCAUCAUCCGCAACAUUCCACUCUUUCUGGCCGACUCGGCGCGAGCCUGGCUGGAACAUAUCCCUUCGGGUCGGAUCCGCAGCUGGAACGACCUGAAGGAGAUAUUUGUGGGAAACUUCCAGGGCACGCUGUGGCGGAACUGCCCAACUUAAGCUGGUUUAAGUGUGCCUAAUCGCUGUCGGAACAGCAAUUAUCCGAAACGCACCUAAAAUAGCAUAAGUCCGGUAGUCCGUCGAGUGUCCCUAGGACUCCUCGAAAGAUCCACGACGUGUCUCAUAGCCAUACAUUAGGAUAGUAUCCGCGAUGGGAUAACAUCAACAAACAUUACAUUUUUUUCAUACUUAUAAAAGGUACGAGUUAUUACAGAACGUAGAUUGAAGCAAACUUAGCAGUGCAGUGUUAGACAGAGUGCUAAGAUUUUAAACAUAAAUAGUUUAGGAGGAGAUGAGCAUUUAAAACUUCUUCUCUAAGGGCAUUGUGAGACUCAGGACAAUACCCUAGGGCUUCGGGGUUUCCUCCUCUGCAGACUCCUGCGGAGCUUCUGAAAGAUAGCCACAAGGGGAAAACCCUGAGUACGGGGUACUCAGCAAGUCUUACCCGACUAACCAAUAUAAUAGUUUUUCUUAGGAUGUAUAUGAUGGCUUUUUGGUGUAUUUGGCUGAUGCAACUUUUCGCCGAAAAGCUUACUACAAGUGAUGCCUUAGUUUUAUCUUUUAUUUGGGUUAAGUCAUUACCUAACCAUUCUAAAUGAUGAGCAGAAAGUAAAAGCAAUCAUAGAUAUUAAGUCAUACAUCAAACAUUAUCAGGAGAUAUAUAUAUUGCAUGAAUUUAAACUACGAUGCUCAACAGUGAUCAAGUGCAUUCAUAACCGAGAAUUGCGGUGAUCCGGAUCCAUUUACAUCCUGCAGGAGAGUACCCUGAUCACCAGCUUUAUACGAUUGUCCAGGUCGUACAUAACAACCUCUCGAUUAGCAAAAUCAAUGAUUAGGAAUACGACUACCCGGACCCAGGGAUGCACCCCCACAUGGGACCCCACGUCUGGCCCGAUCACCAUGUGAGUUUCAGGCUACACCCCUACCAAUCUCCAGCACGUCAAGUGCGGGUACGAAGUAUUCCCGAUCAUAGAGUUUACUAACCUACUGGGCUUUACUGGUCCCAUACCCAGUAAGUGAUCAGCUGCUUAUCACUUGAUCAAAGGUUAAGACAACGAAUCGGGCCUUAACCAAAUUAAUCUAGCAGACAGAACUAUAUCUCUAGCUUCUGUCUGCUUUCAACUUUCCAAGUUAUUUCCCAUAAGCAACAUGUAUGACUCAAAAGUUUUCCUUAAGGUUGGUAAACCAAGUAUGUAAGCAAGUAAGCUGUUCUAGACUUGGGUAUCUUCUAAGGUUUGAACAAGUGGCAAAGAUGUCCUUAAAACAAGGCAUGAUCAUACACAAGAAUAGGUUUCAAGCAACUCCUAGACUUAGUGCAUACAUAUAGCAAAUAACCGAUAAUUGGUCACAUGAAAUAAUGACUCCAAAAUAGAUAGGUAUAAAUGCACCGGGGCUUGCCUUGUUCGCUUAAAAAGUUAGUAUUCUCUGACGGGUUGGCUUCAUAGGGGACUAAUUCAAAAACUUCUUCGAACUCCGAAGGUCCUUCUGAAAAUUCCAAAUAUUCUCCUUCUGGUGCUUCGGGAUCUAUAGCAUAAUACAUGCAGGGGUUAGGAAUGCAAAAUUUGAAUAAAAGACUAUACAACUUUCCUUCAUGAUAAAGUUGCAAGCCAACAAGGACUAUACAAUUUAUCAUGAUAAAGUUUGCAAGUCAACACACAAAAACCUAAAAAGAUUAGCCCUCAAUUUUAUUUUUCUUACUUAACCCUCCUUAAGGUUUUUUUCUUUUAUUUUUAGAAAAGGUUAUAAUUAUUUUCUAACUUGAAAACCUAAUUUCCUAUGAGUUAAGAAUAAUUUGUGAUUAAGAAAAUGUUAUUUCAUAUUUUAUGCAUUUUCUAAAGAUUAAGUAUUUAUUUAAUUACCUUAAAAGAAAGGCAUUAAAUAAAUACCCAAAUUUUAUUAUUUUUCUAGGGUGUAAAAAUUUUAAUGUAUAAAGAAAAAUAAAACAAGCCUGACAAAAUUGGUUUCUCUAAUUUUGGACACUCCUAGAAAUUUCUUUGAUUAAAAUGGUGUAAUUCGGAUUUAAACUAAUUUCUUUCUAAAGGAAAUCUAAUUUUUCCCGAAAAACACCCGGAAAAACUUUUCUUACUCAGCUCGACGCUACCCUCUCUCACGCGCACUGGGCCCCACGACGCGGACCCACCUAUUCCUAUUCCUUUCUACCCGCCGGCCUUAUUCUCCCUCUGACGGGCCCUGUGGGCCGCUUUCUUUUUCUUUUUCUUUUCUCCGGUCCGAUACCGGCCCACGGCCCUCUUCUUCUUUUUCCGUUUUCCGCGGGCGCGGCCUACUCCUUACUGGGCCUCCGGCCCCUUUCUCUUUUCCGGUCGACCGCGUCGGCUCCGUGGGCCUCCAACAUGCCGGCCCAUAGACGCCUGCGCCUCGGCCUCUUUCUCCCCCUCCCCUCCUUUCUCUCUCUGUCGCGCGGGCCCGAGCAUCCAGGCGCUUCUUCCUCCUCCCGCCAAAACGCGCGCGCGACAGGGGGCGGCGUGACUCGCCGGCCGGCGCCCCACCGGCGGCGAAGCUAGGUUAGGACAGCACCUCUACACCUUCACGCACCCGUGUGCGGCAACAGCUCCUCGGGAGAUGGCCGGAGCCAUUCGCUCCACGGCGGCGGGCGGCGACACCUUCGGCCGGUCGUGACUACUCACGACGACGGCACAAACUACUUGAACGACUACUCUCACACCAUCCUGGCAUCCUAGGGACUCGCCUACGACUACCUAAGAAGGAAGGGAACCGGUGCAAGAUAGUGCUCACUGUGAGCAGGAGGCGCGGCGACGGCGGACAGGAGCGGCGGCGGUUCAAGGCGUGCUGACGGAGAAAUUGGGCAACAAGUUGCUAGGGUUGCUGGUGGGGUGUGGGCGGAGGUGUGGACGGAAGGAAUCGGCGGGAGCUGCGGUGUGGUGGUGGAAUUUUUGCUCGGCGGCGGUGCUUGACAGAGGAGCGGCGGCGGUAAAAAGGCAGCGGUAGAAACGGCGGCUCGGGAGCGGUAAUUAUACAAACAACUUACCACGCGCAUGGCUGCCACCGUGGUCUACCCAUAGGCUUAUGUGGUGAGGAGGUGGCCUAGCUGGUUGCGCUGGCGAGAGACCGACGACGGCGGCGGCGACACGUCCUGCCUGCUCUGUCAUCGUUCCCAUUUCUUUCUUCUGAUGCCCGAAAUCUUCAGAGCCUUCCCACGGUAGAUUUCCAAUCCGACAGUGCACUUGGGUCUUAACCAAAGUUGUAGAUAAUCUCAAGCUUUCCAAUUCAUCUAUAAACCUUUGCCCGAGAUAAACAUCAAAAGGUCUUCAAAUUUAAAUUUUUCCUCGGGCAAUGUCUGAAUCCCGUUUACCCUUCUAUUCAGUUUCGUCAGUUAAUCAAGGUGCUCAUUUGCCCGACUUAGUGAUCCAUUUCGGUGGUGCAAAUCCCCUUUCUGUAGUCCAACUUCUUCCCAAUUAUGUUCUACAACACCCAAAGUUUCCAUUUUGCCCAAGAACACCUACUCCUUUUGAUCUCCAUCUCUCUGAAAUUAAAUCCAAAGUUGAUCAGAUGCUGCUGUUUUUCAGACUUAGGCAUUUUCAGUGACAGUCAACUGUGACAAUGUGCUGACUUUGAGCUAAAUUUCGAAAUUGUUCCCUUCCAUGUUCCUGGCCAACAACACCCAAUUCUAAGAGUCCAAAGUACAUACUUUGAUAUGGUAUAGUUGUUCUGAUUCACUUAUUUGAAAAAUUUCUCAGAAUUCAAUUUCCAAAAUGGACUUUGAGGCUGUUUUUCUGAAUUUCUGUUUUCAGAUGAGGAACAGUAACUUCAGUUUUCUUUUUCCUUUCUUUAAUUCCUUUGAGAUAUUUUGGACCAGUUCUACUCCAAAUUCUUGAUCCUUAAGUUCUAGUUACUCUUACACUUAUAAUCCACAUUUUUGCCGAAUUUUUCUGAAUUUCAAAUUCAAAAUUCAAAUUUCGGUCAAAUUUGACCCGAAUUUGAUUUUUGGCCAAUUUCUUUUUCCUUUCUUCUCGAAUUACUUCCAACUCAUCCAAGUCACUUUAAAUGACUAAAAUGGCAGCUGUUACACACGCACACGCGCCCUGGCAAUUCCUGGGACCUCCGGAGCUGCCGCCUGGGGUUAGACGAGUCCCUCCGGGACUACAUCCGGUGCUUCUCCAGGAAGCGCACCGAGCUCUCCAAUGUAGCGGACGCCGACGUCAUAGGGGCUUUCCUGGCAGGAACUUCAUGUCGGCCCCUCGUCCACGAGCUAGGGCACCGAGGCCCACGGACCACGGAGGAGCUCCUCAAUAUCGCCACCAGCUUCGCCUCGGGUGAAGAGGCCGUUGGAGAAAUCUUCGACCGCUCCAAGGGCAAAGCAAAGCGGGAGGAGGACGCCGACGAGGGCACCUCCAACCGUCAGCAGAAGAAGAAGAACAAGCAGCGACGCGAGGCACCCCUUGUGGCUGCUGCUGAAUGCAAGCGGGGAUAGCCGCCCCCAGAGGGCACCCCCGGCUUUUUUGAGAAGCUGCUCGAGGGACCGUGCCCGAACCACGAGUUCCCCGCAAAGCACACCUACAAGGACUGCAACCUCAUGAAGAGGUAUUUUGUAGGCAUCCCGGUGAAGGGCGACUGGAGGCGGAAGCCCGACGACGAGAAGAAGGAUGGCGAAGAGAAGGAAGAUAGCUUCCCCAAGGUGGACGGUUGCUUCAUGAUCUUCGGCGGACCGGCGGCUUAUGACUCCAAGCGUCACCGGAAGCUGGAGCGCCGCGAGGUCUACGCGGCCGAGCUUGCAACACCGGCCUUCCUCGACUGGUCGGGAUCCGCCAUCACCUUCGACCGGACCGACCAUCCGGGGCGCGUCCUGCAGCCAGGGCGCUACCCGCUCGUCGUCGACCCCAUUGUCGGCACGAUGCGCCUCACCAAGGUGCUCAUGGACGGAGGCAGCGGCCUCAACAUCCUCUACGCCGAGACUCUCGACGCCAUGGGGAUCGACCGCUCCCGACUCCGUCCCAGCAAGGCACCGUUCCACGGCAUCGUGCCGGGGAAACAGGCAAUGCCUCUCGGGCAGAUCGACCUGCCCGUCACUUUCGGGACUCCGUCCAACCACAGGAAGGAGAUCGUCACCUUCGAGGUGGUGGGCUUCCGGGGAACCUAGCACGCCAUCCUGGGGCGGCUGUGCUACGCCAAGUUCAUGGCCAUCCCCAACUACACCUACCUCAAGCUCAAGCUGCCGGGGCCCAACGGGGUCAUCACCGUCGGCACGUCUUUCCAGAAGGCGUACGGGUGCGAUGUAGAAUGCUGCGAGUUUGCCGCAGCCAUCACCUGCACGGAGGGUCCAGCGGUCCAGCUCGUGGAGAGCACCGAGGACCAGCCCGACUCCAAGCAGUCGGCCACCUCCUUCGAGGCCACCGAAGGCGUCAACGAGGUCCCCCUCGACCCCAGCAGCUCCGACGGUCAGACCGUACGGAUCAGCGCUACCCUAUCUCCCAAAUAGGAAAGCGCGCUCGUCGACUUCCUCCGCACGAACAGCGACGUCUUCGCGUGGAAACCCUCGGACAUGCCCGGCAUCCCGAGGGAAGGCGCCGAACACUCCUUGAACAUCAAGGCCGGCUCCAAGCCGGUGAAGCAAGGUCUGCGUCACUUCGAUGAGGAGAGGCGCAAGGCCAUCAGCGAGGAGCUCCAGAAGCUUUUGACGACUGGAUUCAUCAAGGAAGUAUACCACCCUGAGUAGCUAGCAAAUCCUGUUCUUGUACGCAAAAAGAAUGGGAAAUGGAGGAUGUGUGUUGAUUAUACCAGUCUCAACAAAGUAUGUCCAAAGGAUCCGUUUCCUUUGCCACGCAUAGACCAGAUAGUCGACUCAACCGCCGGGUGCGAAACCCUUAGCUUCCUUGACGCGUAUUCCGGCUACCACCAAAUCGCGAUGAAAGAGUCUGACCAGCUCGCGACCUCUUUCAUCAGCCCCUUUGGCCCCUACUGCUACGUUAAGAUGCCAUUCGGCCUCAAAAACGCGUGGGCUACGUUCCAGCGAUGCAUGCUUAAGUGUUUCGGGGACCUCAUCAGGCGAACCGUCAAGGCUUAUGUCGACGACAUCAUAGUCAAGUCUAGGAAGGACGACCAACUCAUCCCUGACCUUGAACUAGCCUUCGAAAGGCUGAGAGACGUGCGCAUCAAGCUCAAUCCUGAAAAGUGUGUCUUCGGGGUUCCGAGGGGCAUGCUGCUGGGUUUCAUCGUCUCCGUACGCGGCAUCGAGGCCAAUCCGGAGAAGAUAGCGGCCAUCAGCGACAUGGGGCCGGUUCGAAAUGUAAAGGGAGUCCAGCGCGUCGCGGGAUGCCUGGCGGCCCUGAGCCACUUCAUCUCACGCCUCGGCGAACGGGGGCUCCCUCUCUACCAACUCCUGAAGAAAACCGACCACUUCGAGUGGACUGCCGAGGCCUAGGAGGCGCUUGACCGGCUCAAGGACCUCCUGACGAAGGUCCCGAUCCUGGUCCCGCCAACCGAUGGGGAGCCCCUCCUGCUCUACAUUGCGGCGACCACCCAGGUGGUCAGCGCGGCUCUGGUGGUGGAACGAGAGGAGGAGGGACGCGCCCUCAAGGUGCAGCGCCCGGUGUACUUCGUCAGCGAGGUCUUGUCUGAGUCCAAGGCGCGCUACCCGCAAAUCCAGAAGCUCAUCUAUGCCGUCCUCAUAACGAAGAGGAAGCUGCGCCACUACUUCACCUCCCACCCGGUGACGGUCGUUUCGUCGUUCCCCCCCGGCGAAGUGAUCCGGAACCAGGACGCCACGGGACGGAUCGCAAAGUGGGUGCUCGAGCUCAUGGACUAGGGAAUCACCUAUGCCCCCCACACCACCAUCAAAUCCCAGGUACUCGUAGAUUUUGUAGCAGAGUGGAUGGAGAUCCAGACGCCAUCGGCGCUGGAGAAGCAGGAGUACUGGACGAUGUACUUCGACGGGUCGUUGAUGAAGGCUCGCGCUGGAGCAGGCCUAGUCUUCGUCUCUCCUCUCGGCGUGCGCAUGAGGUACAUGAUCCGCCUCCACUUCCCUGCAUCUAAUAAUGUCACCGAGUACGAGGCUCUCCUCAACGGGCUUCGCAUCGCCAUCGAGCUGGGCAUCCGACGGCUGGACAUCCGAGGCGACUCUCAGCUAGUCGUCGAGCAAGUCAUGAAGGAGUGGAGCUGCCACGACCCCAAGAUGGCAGCCUAUUGCAACGAAGUCCGCAAGCUCGAGGACAAGUUUGACAGACUAGAGCUCAACCACGUCGCAAGGCAUUUCAAUGAGGCGGCUGACGAACUGGCAAAGGCGGCAUCCGACCGAAAGCCCGUACCCAACGGCGUCUUCGUCAGCGACCAGUUCAAGCCCUCAAUCCGUUACCAGGAGCCGGGGGGGAGGGGGGGUCGGCGACACGCCACCUACCCCGGACUCGAGCCUCGACCUGGGAGAGGCCGGCAACGCGCCACCUAUCCCAGGCUCGGGCGCCAACACAGACGGGGUUGGCAAUGCUCCACCUGUCCUGGACUCGGAGGCCGACCCCAGCAACCCCGAGAUCAUGGAGAUUGACGCGGACCUAGCAGCGGGGCCUGACCCCCCGUCUGAACGGAGAGCCCCGUACCUCGACUACCUCAUCCGCGAGACGCUCCCGGCGAACAAGACAGAGGCACGUUGGAUUGCGCACCGCGCCAAAUCCUUCAUCAUCAUUGACCAGGAGCUCUAUAAGCGAAGCCACACCGCAUCCUCCAGCGCUACAUCCCGAUCGAGCAGGGAAAGGCGCUGAUUCAGGACAUCCACGCCGGAGCCUGCGACCACCACGCCGCGCCAAGAACCCUCGUUGGAAACGCCUUCCGGCAGGGCUUUUACUGGCCGACGGCGGUCGCCGAUGCCACCCACAUGGUCCGCACCUGCGAGGGGUGCCAAUUCUUCGCGCGCCAAACUCAUCUGACUGCACAGACGCUCCAGACCAUCCCCAUUACGUGGCCCUUCACGAUCUGGGGGCUGGACCUCGUCGGGCCCUUCAAGAAAGCGCCUGGGGGCUUCACCCACCUGCUUGUCACCGUCGACAAGUUCUCCAAGUGGAUCGAGGCACGACCGGUUGCGCAAAUCAAAUCCGAGCAGGCGGUACAGUUCUUCACCGACAUCAUCCAUCGCUUCGGAAUCCCCAACUCCAUCAUCACGGACAAUGGCACGCAAUUCACCGGGAAGAAAUUCCUCCAGUUCUGCGACGACCACCACAUCCGAGUGGACUGGUCGGUCGUGGCGCAUCCACGCACGAACGGGCAAGUUGAACGAGCCAACGGCAUGAUACUCCAGGGUCUCAAGCAACGGAUCUUCGACCGCCUCAAAAAGUUCGGCGGCCGAUGGGUCGCGGAGCUCUCCGCGGUCCUGUGGAGUUUGAGGACGACCCCCAGUAGGGCGACCGGCUUCACCCCUUUCUUCAUGGUUUACGGGUCCGAGGCAGUCCUCCCCACCGAUAUGGAGUACGGAUCACCAAGGGUCAAGGCAUACGGGGAACAGGGAAACCAGGCAUCGCUCGAAAACGUGCAAGACCACCUCGACGAAGCGCGUGAUGUAGCCCAGCUGCACUCGGCUAAGUACCAGCAGGCCCUACGACGCUACCACAGAUGCAAGGUGCAAGGCCGAGCCUUCAACGUCGGUGACCUGGUCCUCUGCCUCGUCCAGGACAACAGGGGUCGGUACAAGCUGACCCCUCCAUGGGAAGGUCCCUUCAUCGUCGGACAAGUAUUGAGGCCAGGCAUGUACAAGCUGGCGACCCCUGACAAACAGAUCUUCAACAACACUUGGAACAUAGAGCAGCUAAGACGCUUCUACCCUUAGUUCUUGUUUCCAAGUUCUGUACCUAAAUACUUCUGUAACUUAGUAAUUUACGGAAAAAGGAAUUUUGAGUCGAUUUCGUUCAAGUUUCAUAUUGAACUCAGGGAUAUCCGACCCAAACUCCGCCUCAGGGCCGCACAUCCCUUGGGGGCUAUCAGGGGCUCCGGCCCAAGUCACUUGACAUCUUCUCAAAACGCCUUCUCUUUUCGAGCCGACCUUCUUUCUAAACUUUUGGGCAUGAAAAGGAGAGAGUGCACGAACGGGUUUCAGGCAAGACUGAUCGGAUUGCGAAAAAGCCUACACCCCAGCGGCUACAGUACCUUCGCCCAUUAAUGCUUACUGACACGCCUGACACGCGCUCUAAACUUUCCAAAUCCAAAAAAAAGAAAGAGGAUCGAAAACUUUUUUCGACAACUUAUAGAAAAGGCCUCUGCGGCCAUCACAAAAACAAGUUCAAAGUCAAACUAACAUAUUUACAUCUGGGGCGCCUAAGCCCGAUACAGCUAACUCGUCCUGGGAUCUUCGGGCAGGACGGCUUCAUCUUCCAGAAGCUUCGCCAAGGCCUCCGCUGGGUUGAGCACCGACGCAUCGAUUUCGUCCAGCUCGGCCUCGGAGUAGCCGGUAGCGUACCCCCCGCUCAUCCCGGCGAAGUUGAUGCCGGAGUAAUGGGAGCCGAAGACGCCGAAGGCCCACCUCACGCCGACACGGAGCGCUUCCAGGGUAAUCUCGCGGGCCCACCGAUACGUCCCAAGGACACGAGUCGCCAACGAACUCGUCCCCUCCCCCUGGACCACGCCGAGGCCGUCGCAGACGACGCGGACUGCAUCCCGCAAGUUGCCAUGCUCGGCGCGCUCCGCGUCGAGGCUCCUUUAGCCGAGCGAUCUCGUUUGUAAGGUUCGGAGAAGUAUGAGUCAUAAACCAUAAAAAAGUAGCAGAAAACCAAGGAACGAAAAGAGUCUUAUCCUCAGACUGGGCCUUCAGCUUAUGCUCCCGGUCGAGCCCCUGGGCCACGGCGGUCUGAAGCCUCUUCACUUGCACAUGGAGCUGACUGACCUCCGCCCCGAGCUCAGCCACCAUCUUCUCGGCCUCGUCCUUCUGGGCCGCCUCGAAGUCCUGCUCCUGCCAGGCUUUCUGCCGCUCACGCUGGAUGCGCUCGAUGGCUUUUUGAAGGGCUUCAUGCUCUCCCUUCAGCCGUGCGAGCUCCUCGGCAUCAAGGCGGGCCCUCUCAGCAGCAGCGGCCUGGAGCUCCUCGCGGUCGAGGCGAGUCUUCUCGACAACGGCCUGGAACUUAUCCUCCGCCCGCCGCGCGGCCUCCCGCACCGCCUGCUCGCGCCUUUGCAGGUCAUUGAUGACUUGCUGGGCGGCGGCAACCUGCGCGGUCAGCUUCCUGGUCCGCUGCUUCUCCAUAGAGAAGCGUUCCCAGAGCCCCCGCUCAUUUUGGAGGAAAUCGGAUUUCCCACGGCUGCACUCUUGGAGGGCCUACAAGACGAUAUAUACUCAGUAACAGAGCGACAAGAGAAAAAUAACCGCCAGGGAGAACAUCGUACCUAGCCACCGGGAACGACGACGCCGUCCAGCUCCCCCAUCGCUGAGGACAGGGCAGCGCCGACGUUUGCAAGUCCGCCCUGCACUGCCCGCCACUUGCCCCACUCCUCGGCGUCAUCCAGUGUGAAGAGGGGCCUAUGCGGGUCAUCGCGGGACAUCCAGAACAGGGUAGCCCCACUCCACGCCUUGGGAAUGACACUGACCGAGGCAAGGGUAGAGGCCACUCCGACCGCCUCCGGCGCCGUCGUCCCCGACGCCGCCACCCCGGAUGCCGCUGGCCUCGCCGACGGCCCCGGCGCGUGUGCCGACGCCCCUGUCGAGGUCGCCGUGGCCGUCGUCGAUGCCACCGCGCAUCCCGAUUCGUCCGCCACCGCCACUGUCCCCGUCGCGGCUGCCGGAGCGGGCGUUCCCGUCACCGCCGCGGCCUUCAUCGCGACCACUGAGGCGGGCGUCCCCGGCCCCGUCGUGACCGUCGGAGCAGGCACCCCCACUUCCGCCGCAGCCGUUGCCUUCGCCGCGGCUCUCCGGGCGGAUGUCCCCGCCUCCGCUGCCGCCGCCGCUGCCUUCGUCGCAGCCGCAGGGGCGGGCCUCCUCGCCUCCCCUGCCGCUGCUGUCCCUGUCGCGACCGCGGGGGCGGACUCUCUCCCCUCCGUCACCACCGCCAUCCCCGUCACGGUCACUGGGGCAACCACCCCCGUCUCCACCACCGCCGUCGGAGCCGCACGCUCCUCCUCCGCCUCGUCGUCGAGGUCUAUCACCACCCCGGUCGGAGGGCCCCUAUGGGCAAUGCCUUGUCCCGCGGGGUCGGCCGAGGAGGCAGAGGGUAGAGCAGGGGUCAGACCCUACCCCGUGCCCGGAUUCGGCACCACUCCACCGGUUGCCGCCGCAGGAGCCACCUCCACGGUAGGCUCCACGGUCUCUCCAGCGCCGCCGCCGCCCGCUGCCGGCGGGGGUCGUGGUUCGCCCCGCGGAGGUGGACGACACCCGCAACGCCUUCUUCGGCGCUAGUGGCGGAAUGAAGUCUUUGGGGGCGGCGCUGUGAACAACAAAUAACAUUAGCAAAAAUGAUUCGAUGCCAGGAAAGGAACAAGAUACGCGGAGAACCUCCACUUACACUCCCCCAGCACGGGGACGGCGGGCACGUUUCGCCUCCGAGCCCGACGCCGACCUCGGGGCAUCUGGCAGUGGCCGGUUGCCGCUGCUUCUCUGCUCUUGGUCCGCAGGUUGAGAGUCGGGGGUCGGUUUCGUCGACUCUUGAGGCGCGCCCCGCGCCGACCCCUGGGGCGCGGCCCGAGAGCCUCGCGGGGGCAGGUCUUGCGCGGGCGGUUUUCUCGGCGUGCCCCCCGCGGCCAUUUGGGAGCGCGGCUCCCAGAUAAUGAGCGCGCCCGACCGGGGGUUUAGAACGAACCCCUCCUCUUCCUCCUCCUCGUUGUCAUCGUCGUCCUCCUCCUCCUCGUCGUCGUCAUCGUCGUCAUCCGACACAACCUGACCCUGCCGCCACCGUUGGAAUUCCUUGGUGGCCUUCCUUUUCUUCCUCGCCGUCUCCUUGUCCUUGUGCUGCUUCUACUUCUCGGCAAGGAGGCGGUUCUGCUGUCGCCGCUCGGCGUCCUCUGGCACCGGCGGGUGCGAGUCGACGACGCUGGUCAUACUGCCCUGCAAACAUGAAAGCUCCGGGUCAGAGCGACGAACCAAGAAACACAGAAGAGGGAAACGGAAGCGUGAAGGCCUCACCAGCUGGACGAAGUUCUCGUCCGGGCACAUUGGAGGGUGGCCAGGCACCGGGUAAUCGGUGUCCUUAUCCUCCAGCGCCUCCCGGACUCGCUGCCGGAUCUCAGAGGUGGUGAGCGCACCCGUCGUGAGGACGGUGCCCUCGGUCGGCGUGCCGGGGGUCAUCUCGGUGAGCGAGCGGACCCGGAGCAUCAGCGGCGCCACCCUCCGAGCGUGGUACGCCUUGAUGACUCUGACCCCGGUCAGCCCCUUUCCCUUCAGGUACUCGAUGGCCUCAAGCAAGCCGGCGAUCCGCUUCUUCUCCUUCUCCACCGGGCCGUACGACCACAGCUCCGGCACCACUUCAAUGACGCGGCCGGUGAACUCCGGCAAGGGAGAGUUAGAGUAGUUCUUCACGUAGAACCACUGUUGAUGCCACCCCUUGUGGGAUGCCGUGGUCUUCAUCGCCAUGUACUCCUUGGCGCGGGUAUGGCAGAGGUGGAUUCCGGCGCACCCUAUCGGCACCGGGGUUGCCCGCUGCUGGCUUCCUCUCUUCUCGGUCUUCUGGUACAGGCUGACCGCGAAGAAAUACUUCCACAGCGAGAAGUUGGGCUCGAUGCCCAAGAACCCCUCGCACAGCGCGACGAACGCCGCGAUGUGUUGGAUCCCGUUGGGAUUAAGGUGCUGCAGCUCGAGCCCGUAGUAGUGCAGCAGCCCGCGGAAGAAAAGGCUCGGCGGGGUUGCGAACCCUCUCUCGUGGAAGUGGGCGAACGACACAACGUAGCCGGCGGGCGGAUUCGGCACCUCCUCCAUCUCAGGGAACUGCCUUUCGCCCCUCUCGGUCCUCUCGCAGAGGAGGCCCUUCCUCGUGAGGCCGUCAGCGCGUGAGGUGCCAAAGC
rnacentral:lncRNA from 1 species